AAUUCUUUAUUACAAAAUGAUUACAAGUUACAACAUUUACAAGUUAUAACAAGAUUACAAUAUAUAUCAUCGGAGUUGAUUACAAAAGAAAUUGAUUCAAAAAGAUUACAAUUUGAAUGUAUAAAACAUUUAUAAGUUUUAAAAUACAUGCUAGCUUAAGUGACAAUCCUCAAUAAGGAAGCUAAAGAUGGGAUAUACUUAUAUAAGAAGGUCGAGCCCACAGGCACUUAGCACCAUCCACAACAGAACAAAAUUACAACCUGAAAAACAACAGGGAAUAAAACCCUGAGUACGCAAUUACUCAGCAAGACUUACCCGACUAAAGAAAAGACUCUCAAGGGUAUGCUGGAUUUAAGGGAUUCAAGGUAAAGCUCGUCAAAUUUCAAAGACUCGUUUUUGCAGAAAAGCUUACUAGUAGUGGAUCCUUAUGCAAAAUUUUUACUUCACAAAUUAAGUACUUUUCCUGAAUCUAGAUUUGCCUGGUCUAGAGCAUUCACUUGUCCUACACUAGCUUCAUUUUAUCAACUUUAAUUUCACUUGUUAUCUACGCUGAAGGUCGAAGAUCCAGUCUUCAUAUCCGAGAAGUUCGGCGAUCCGAAUCGAUUAAUACCCAGCUGAGGAUCUCCAACCACACGACAUAUGUAGCACUUAACCCUUGCAUAUGUCAACUCGCCCACGGUUUUCUCAAGACCAGAACGGGUCCCCGCCAACCGAGAGCUCAGUACCCCACCAUCCAGCCUCUUGCCAGGUGGAUACACGAUACUCUCGCCAUCUCUCCACUCCCAUUGCAGGCCGACCUUUCUGGUAUUGGUCCAACCGAGGCUAAGCUUACCCAUGAUGAGGCAUGUGGCCAGUUAAAGGGUCCUAGAUCAGCAGGCCAACAAUCGGAACGGUCCUUAAUCGACACAGACGAGCGACCUUUCCUGCUCAACGUCUGGUCUCAUUUUAUUUAAACCAUUUCCCAAUCUUUGGUACCUGACAGAGGUACUUUUUCUGGAUGUUGAAUCCAUCAUGGCCAUAUGGAUUCACCAUCCCAAUUUCUUUUUCACAAAAAUUUCCCAUAUCCCAUGUAACACAUCAUUUUUUUAAAAAAAAAACAACUUUUAAUUAUCUAAGCAGGGCUAAGCAUCUUUAGUUCUCUUUAUAAAACAGGAAUCAAGGAAGAUAAUCAAAUUCCAAGGAAUGGCAAUGCAUCAAUUGUUUCAUCACUCAACUCCUAUCACCUAAUGCAACAUAUAAGUGAUAAAAGUUUUAUAACAACAAGGAGGUGGCAAAUGCACCGGGGCUUGCCUGGGAUAACACUACGUUAGUGUUGUUAGAUGAUGACCACUUGGUGAGCAUCUUCCAUUCUGGCACUCUAUCAGAUCAUCCAUCUUUAGGUUCGUUCACCAGCAUCAUUUUGAGAUCAACUCGGCUCUUGUCCUUCGCAUCACGUGUAACGAACCUGAAUGAUAUGCAUAAUGCACAUGAAUGCUUAUGAGCAGGAAUAGCACAAGAUAAACAAUGCUACAGUAGAAAGCUAAACACUUAAUGGUGAGGCGCAAACAACACCCAUAAGUAAACGCUAGACAUCGAUAAAUGGCUAAAAACCAUAAUCUCGCUUCUUUAACUCAAGCAUCAAGCCUCAAAAGGCUGCACAUAAAUCUUAAUCUCAUGAACUAGAGUAUCCUACCGAAGGAUUAACACCACUCUUAGUAUUAAUGAACAACUCAUUAUUAACAAGCAUAGAAUUCUAUGGAAUAAAAAUUAUCUUAACUUAAAGGCCUAAAACACUUGUAUGCAUAAACACUAGACACCUCUAACUCUACACCCAAAAUAUUGUCAAAUAGCCUAGUAUUCUGUAAAACAAUAGGCUCAACAAAUUUGAAGAUUUAAAGCACUUAUGUGCACUAACCAUCACAAAAUUCUCAUGUUUCAGUUGAAAUCGACUUAUUGAUACUACUCGUUUUUAGACACUCAGGGCAGCAAGCAACAUCAAAUCAAGGUAUCUAAUCGUUCACUAAACAUUUAGUAUAAAGACUACUAGUAAAGCAUUAUCGUGUUCAAAUAAAUCAAAGAAGUAUAACAAUACUGAUAGAACCUAUCUUAGAAUAAGGACAGAAGCAUUACAGCUAGCCUUCUAAACUUAAAUGGUACAUUACAGAUUAAUAUAUUAUUGUCUAAAAUCUAAGUGUACUAUCUAACAAGAUGAAUAUAUGAAUAUACUGGUUUGGAAAUAAUACGGAGAUAUACCAGAAGACGUAACCCAUUCUAGUUUACAUUAGAAUUCAACAAGUAAUAUAUAUACCCACAUGAAGAUGAAUUAUACUGCACUAAUAAAUAUUUAUCUAAGGUAUUUAACCGGUCAUUAAUAGAGAAUAUAAUACUACUAAAGCCUAGCAUGGAUUACUAUCACCACUAUAUUAAACCAGUCUUCAACAAUCAAAAUUUAACUAAUUCUAUCAAGCCAAAUAAGAAUGACUCCAAACAAUCAAUUUACCACACGCAGAUUUUUUCUGGACAGCAGCAUAGCAGUCAACGGUUUUGCUCAUAAUUUACAAAAUAUCCAUCCAAAAAUAGUAAACUAAGAUUUUUUUGGAAAGCUUAUAAAGUCCUCUACAACUUUGGUACUAUCAUCACAAUGAGAUUCGAUAUUUAGAAAUGUCAAACAGUACUAAACGUAAAUUCUGUCCAGAUUUGGACAGAAUUCGACUACUUACUUCAAAACUCCAUAACUAGAGUUUCAGGAAUCCAAAUCUGGUGAUCCUAGACUUUUUAGAAAGCUAACAUAAUUUUCUACAAUUCAUUUAUAAACAUCUCAUGUUAAUUCAAUACAUAUCAAAGUCAGUUCAUACAAACAGACUUCUCUAUCCAGAUUUGGACAGAUUCAGACUCUAUAGUUAAAACAGCUGUAACUUGGUCUCUAGACCACCAAAAAGGGUGCUCUAAAAUUUGUUGGAAAGCUUAAAAAAAUACUAUAACUCUCCUAUAAUUACUGAGAGCUGAUUCUCAGUUUAAUUUAGUCAAACAGGGCAAUUUUCGAAAUCAGUACAAAAUUUGGACAGAUUCUGAAACUGGACUUGGAAAAUUCAUAACUCCUAAACUAUUAGUCCUAUGGUCAUGAAAUUUUUACACAAGUAAGAUGAAGAGGUUAGCUACAACUUUUCUAUAUAACACUUUCACAGAAAACAUGAUUUAAUUCACUCAAUUAGUUGCACAAUCAAAACUGUACGUGCAGGUUUGGACAGCAAUACUGUCAUCACUUAUUUUAACCAUAACCAUGAAUAUAAUCAUGUCACUAUCCACGAAGAGGUAUCACCACUAACUCAUGAUGCAUAUAUAUUCACCAAACACAUCUAUGCAAUUCAUCUAACAAUUCAAUCAAUAGUAAUAAUGAAUUAGCUUACCAACACUAAAUAGACUCGGAUUUCACAAGAGCAACAAGGAUCUCCGGUUCAUCCAUUCCAUCAAACACCUAGAGCGCGUCGAACUGAAACACUGUUUCUUCUCCAUCGAUUUCCCUAGAACUCUCUUCCAAUCUCACACACAAACACAUAGAGUUUCACAAGCGUCUUGACAUGGACAACAAACUGAAAUCAAAAUACAACACGCAAGGACUAGGGAAACAAUAAAGAGAUUUGGAGCUCACCACUUGACAAAAGGGAGGGGGCUGGCGCUUGGGCUUUCAUUCAUGGAGAACAAAAGAAGAAGGGGGAAGCUGCUGCUGGCGUGGGGAGAAAUCAGGGAGAGCAGAGAGGGGCGGCCAUGAGGGGGCUAGGAACCUGGCUAGGGGCUUUGACGCCAUGGGAAGCUGGAGCACGCCACAAACAGAGAGGGGCUGGGCGAGCUCAGCUUGGGGAGGAAGAUGAGGGAGGGGCGGCCAUGACAGGAGGAGGAAGAUGGCCGUAGUUUCUGGAUCGAUGAAGACGACUGAGAAUGGGAUAAGGGAGGGGCUGGUCGCUGGAGGCCUGGAGAGGAUGAGGUUGAGAGACACGGACGUGUGUGUAGGGAUGGGUACCGUGACUUCUAGAGUUCACUGCGGAUAAUGAGAGGAGGAUACGGUUUGGAUAAAUCAAAGGCAAAAUGGUGGAGAUGAUAAGUUAGGAUUCUUUUUUUUAAUAAUCUAUGGAUAAAUACGGGUGCUCGAAUUAACAUUUAAUAGAUGCAAAUCGAUUGGACCAAAAUGAGAUCGGUGAUAAUAGUUGAACAGUGUUUGAUUUGGUAGGUAUUCUCAGAAUCAGAUAAAUUUUUAUGAGAUAUUUAUACCCGAACGUUUGAAUAUAGGCGAGAUACAAUCGGAACGAACUGGAACGAUGUCAACACCGAUAUUUUAGACCGCGUUCAAUUUGAUUUGAAAUCAAAUAAUUUCAUCUGUAGUCUGAACACCUGAUUCCACGGCUAUAGAUAAUUUACUGGAGAAACAGAUCUCAUUUAUAAAUCCUUGGAUGUGAUGAUUUCUCGGUUGGCAAGUAACCACUAAAUUAUUUUAUACCCAAAAACUUAGUCGUCGACUUCUAAUAAAUUUAUUUGGGGCUGAAAUCGGAGGACUGAACUAAAUUUUUAAGUUCGUAUUUGCACGAUCGAUGAGUUUUAAAUAAUCACCAAACUCACUAAUUUUCGGAACAAAUACAUUCUGACUUCGCGAAACAUUUAGAGUAGGCUGGAUAGACAGAGAUGAAAAUGAUAUCGAAAUUAUGAUCUUUUCGAAAGCGACAUCACGCAUCGCUCACGAGAGCGAGAGGCUGUGCGCUGUCCAGACACCGGUUAGCACCUGCCACGCGCCACGAUGCUAGGCCACAGAGAGACACAUGCAACGCAAGCGUGAAAGAAUUUCAAAUGAAGUUUAAGAAACCAGAAUCGAUUUCAAGGAUUAGAGUUUGGGCAAGACGUCGAUGGCUCAACCCAAACAAUCCUGGAUUCGAUGUUCCAAAAAUUACCAAAGGCUGAAUUAAAAAAUAUAGAUUUGGAAAAAUUUAGACAGACGGAAACAAACACGAUAUCAAAAUUGUGAUAAAUGAGGUUGAUUAAAAUUUAGUGACCUUUACAUUCAUAGCUAUCACGUGUUAAAGUCCGCAAUCGUGGUCGAGCAGACGAUAAACACCUGGGGUGUUACAAUCCUCCCCCCUUAAAAGAAUCUCGUCCCGAGAUUCGGAGCGAAAGACUUUUAAGAGUAGAGAAGCAUGUAACUCCUGUCCAUACUAGUGAUAGCAUAAGCUAGUUUCAAGUGAAGACGAGUGUCUCAGAAUGUUGUUUCUCUAGUGGGUAUAGCAUGUAUCACUUUCCAGCUAAGCAGAGAGGUCAACCAUCAGAGUCGGUCUCAGCCAGAAGAACACUUAAGGCUCCAUGUGUGCAGUUGCCACUAAGAUCAAGAGAAAGGAGUCCUCACAUGAAAAGGGUGAUUUUAUCACACGAUCAGACACAUAUAGGUUUCAAUUUUUGAUGAAAGCUUCUAAACUGGUAAGAACUUUACUUAAGGAAUACAUCUGAGUUAUAUACUCUUUUGAUCUAACAGUGAUGGCAUAUGUAGCUUGAUCAUUCUAACAAACAACAUAGAAAUCAUUUCAACGAAGUAGUCUACGAAAGAUAACAUGUCAGUGUAGUUCCAUAAUGGAUCAUAGCCAGAGACUUCGAUACCAGCGUACCGAACAACACUACCAUGUGUCAGCCGCCACAUGAGACUUUCGGUUUUACGCGGCACCAUAAGUCAUUAACUGGGACACCAUCAUCGAACUAGCACCGAUAAUGAAUCUCACGUGGUAAGAACAAUUUGCGCAAAGAUAACAUAUCGAUAUAGUCUCAUAAUGGAUUAUGACUACUAACUGUGAUACCAGCGCGUGCCAAGUAGCGCAACCAUGUGUUGAUCACCCACAGGAGGCCCUCGGUUUCGUCGCAGCACCAUCAGUUUUAGUCAUAACACCAUUGCCAGAUGUAAUCAAUAAGAAAUCUCACAUGGCAUAGAUAGACUGAGCAAGGGUGACAAUAUACAAAGAGACUCUACCUGUCAAAAUAAUUGCAAGUAGAGAGUCAAAUAGAUCAUGGCCAAAACCUAAAUUGGAUGAUGAAGGGAGUAUGAUGGGAGACUGUUAUUUCAGGCCCAAGCAUAUUUCUAUGCCCAUCGCAGCAAUUUCAAGGUCAAGGAUGAGCGUCUGAUUAAAUACGCAGGAAAAAAACGAUCGGAAGAUUAAAUUAAUAUGCCUUCGAGAGCUAUGAGGAAACCAUAGGCAUUCAAUUCGAGAAAACGACUAGGCAUUCCUUUCCUAGGUUAGAUUGAGAAACCGACAAUGUGAUCCUCAAGCAGAGGCAAACUGGAAUAGGGAUACCAGUUUGCACCAACCGAACAAGUCGAAGCUUAGGAGGAAAACAUGACCACUGAAGAGUCACAUAUUAAACGACGAAAAGACGUACUCGAGAUCCUUGUCUUAAAUUUAGGUGCAUUUAUUUUCUACGAGAAGAUUACCUAAACACCUAUUUAGAUAAGCUUGGUCCUAAAGUAACGAUGGAAAUUCAGACUCGUCCACUUUUGAAAACUGGGAAAAAUUUCAGGGAAUUAACAUCGAUUUGGGUCAUGGCUCCUAGAUGAGGACAUGGCCAAAUUUUUAGUUUACACAAACAUACCACCAACAUUCUACCGGCACAAACACACCAGAACAAACACAAGUUGGACUAGCGGUCAAACUAAGAAGAACCAUAGGCCACAUAAAUACAUGUCUAAAGGACCCAACAAACAAGACUAGAAAUUUGCUUAUAGGAUAGUAAUGCUUCACACAUUUUCCAAUUAUUUAUUAUCGGGAUAAAGAUGAGGGAAGCACGUUCGUUCACAAUCAUGAAUUAUUAGAAUAAAGAUGAGAGAAGCAUAUUUGUGCACAAAUGACAAACACAAUGCAACAAUCAGGAUGCAUGCUCGUCCUAUUCGUCCUCACGAAUUUCGCCAACAUAAUGUGGCAAUAGCGUUCUAUAUCGGUGGCAUAUCUACGUUCUCUCUCGGUAUAUUGCUAGUCGUCAGCUACACAUACGUUUCGAAGUUAGUGUACCUGCAGAAAACUUCAUCACAGCCCAUUUCCCAAUGAUGCAAUUCACACAUGCCAAUUUAUCACAGUUUAUACUCCAUAUAUUUCUAUAUGGAGGCCAGCUCCUCAUUAAGCGCCGAGCCACGCAUAGGCGCCGCUACCACACUUUAACCACAGGGCAUCCCAUUAUGGUAACUCACCUUCUUACCUGAGCGUAGGUGCAUCGUUGCGAGUACAUUACAUUUCUCAGUAGUCCCAUGUCUGUAUGCCCAUACACAUUUAUGGGGUACUGAAUCCCCAGAAAAGUAAUUACUCCACAUCGCAGCCUUCAUAUAUACAUAUGUGUAACAUGUAUAUAAUCAAGCGCUUUUUAUACUCUCCCCUAGACCGACGUUUGUUCGGUCAUGCUCUCACAUCUCACCUUACCUGAGCGUCGAUCCAUUCAAAACUGAAUGGCUUUAAAAAAAACAUUACACAUGUAUGCAUUACCCUUCCCAGGUUGUGGGUCAGUAUUCUGAAUUAGGCCACCUAGUAGUCCUUAAUUUAGGGCUUAACAGAGGAUGUCGCUAGCAUUAUAGUUUUUCAAAUCUGUUUUUCAAAACCAAACAAUGUGUUUAGUUGAAAAUAGGUUUUCUAAAACCAAAACCUUGUUUUAAAAAUACGUAUGUGACCGUAUUAUACUUAAUACAGCUCCGAUACCAGCUGUCGCAGAACCUCCCAAGUUAUCGGGCCCACAUGCACCUGUCCUUGUCUCAAAGACCUCAGACAGCUAUGCAUGUGCACCAAACAACUUAACAGGAUCUGUCCGAGUGCCCCGAGGACCUCGGAUAAACGACUUACCGCCAAGAUCGCAGGAUUAAGUAAACACAACUCACAUACAAACACUUGCAGCGGAAAUAAAUUCUUUAUUACAAAAUGAUUACAAGUUACAACAUUUACAAGUUAUAACAAGAUUACAAUAUAUAUCAUCGGAGUUGAUUACAAAAGAAAUUGAUUCAAAAAGAUUACAAUUUGAAUGUAUAAAACAUUUAUAAGUUUUAAAAUACAUGCUAGCUUAAGUGACAAUCCUCAAUAAGGAAGCUAAAGAUGGGAUAUACUUAUAUAAGAAGGCCGAGCCCACCGGCACUUAGCACCAUCCACAACAGAACAAAAUUACAACCUGAAAAACAACAGGGAAUAAAACCCUGAGUACGCAAUUACUCAGCAAGACUUACCCGACUAAAGAAAAGACUCUCAAGGGUAUGCUGGAUUUAAGGGAUUCAAGGUAAAGCUCGUCAAAUUUCUAAGACUCGUUUUUGCAGAAAAGCUUACUAGUAGUGGAUCCUUAUGCAAAAUUUUUACUUCACAAAUUAAGUACUUUUCCUGAAUCUAGAUUUGCCUGGUCUAGAGCAUUCACUUGUCCUACACUAGCUUCAUUUUAUCAACUUUAAUUUCACUUGUUAUCUACGCUGAAGGUCGAAGAUCCAGUCUUCAUAUCCGAGAAGUUCGGCGAUCCGAAUCGAUUAAUACCCAGCUGGGGAUCUCCAACCACACGACAUAUGUAGCACUUAACCCUUGCAUAUGUCAACUCGCCCACGAUUUUCUCAAGACCAGAACGGGUCCCCGCCAACCGAGAGCUCAGUACCCCACCAUCCAGCCUCUUGCCAGGUGGAUACACGAUACUCUCGCCAUCUCUCCACUCCCAUUGCGGGCCGGCCUUUCUGGUAUUGGUCCAACCGAGGCUAAGCUUACCCAUGAUGAGGCAUGUGGCCAGUUAAAGGGUCCUAGAUCAGCAGGCCAACAAUCAGAACGGUCCUUAAUUGACACAGACGGGCGACCUUUCCUGCUCAACGUCUGGUCUCAUUUUAUUUAAACCAUUUCCCAAUCUUUGGUACCUGACAGAGGUACUUUUUCUGGAUGUUGAAUCCAUCAUGGCCAUAUGGAUUCACCAUCCCAAUUUCUUUUUCACAAAAAUUUCCCAUAUCCCAUGUAACACAUCAUUUUUUUUAAAAAAAACAACUUUUAAUUAUCUAAGCAGGGCUAAGCAUCUUUAGUUCUCUUUAUAAAACAGGAAUCAAGGAAGCUAAUCAAAUUCCAAGGAAUGGCAAUGCAUCAAUUGUUUCAUCACUCAACUCCUAUCACCUAAUGCAACAUAUAAGUGAUAAAAGUUUUAUAACAACAAGGAGGUGGCAAAUGCACCGGGGCUUGCCUGGGAUAACACUACGUUAGUGUUGUUAGAUGAUGACCACUUGGUGAGCAUCUUCCAUUCUGGCACUCUAUCAGAUCAUCCAUCUUUAGGUUCGUUCACCAGCAUUAUUUUGAGAUCAACUCGGCUCUUGUCCUUCGCAUCACGUGUAACGAACCUGAAUGAUAUGCAUAAUGCACAUGAAUGCUUAUGAGCAGGAAUAGCACAAGAUAAACAAUGCUACAGUAGAAAGCUAAACACUUAAUGGUGAGGCGCAAACAACACCCAUAAGUAAACGCUAGACAUCGAUAAAUGGCUAAAAACCAUAAUCUCGCUUCUUUAACUCAAGCAUCAAGCCUCAAAAGGCUGCACAUAAAUCUUAAUCUCAUGAACUAGAGUAUCCUACCGAAGGAUUAACACCACUCUUAGUAUUAAUGAACAACUCAUUAUUAACAAGCAUAGAAUUCUAUGGAAUAAAAAUUAUCUUAACUUAAAGGCCUAAAACACUUGUAUGCAUAAACACUAGACACCUCUAACUCUACACCCAAAAUAUUGUCAAAUAGCCUAGUAUUCUGUAAAACAAUAGGCUCAACAAAUUUGAAGAUUUAAAGCACUUAUGUGCACUAACCAUCACAAAAUUCUCAUGUUUCAGUUGAAAUCGGCUUAUUGAUACUACUCGUUUUUAGACACUCAGGGUAGCAAGCAACAUCAAAUCAAGGUAUCUAAUCGUUCACUAAACAUUUAGUAUAAAGACUACUAGUAAAGCAUUAUCGUGUUCAAAUAAAUCAAAGAAGUAUAACAAUACUGAUAGAACCUAUCUUAGAAUAAGGACAGAAGCAUUACAGCUAGCCUUCUAAACUUAAAUGGUACAUUACAGAUUAAUAUAUUAUUGUCUAAAAUCUAAGUGUACUAUCUAACAAGAUGAAUAUAUGAAUAUACUGGUUUGGAAAUAAUACGGAGAUAUACCAGAAGACGUAACCCAUUCUAGUUUACAUUAGAAUUCAACAAGUAAUAUAUAUACCCACAUGAAGAUGAAUUAUACUGCACUAAUAAAUAUUUAUCUAAGGUAUUUAACCGGUCAUUAAUAGAGAAUAUAAUACUACUAAAGCCUAGCAUGGAUUACUAUCACCACUAUAUUAAACCAGUCUUCAACAAUCAAAAUUUAACUAAUUCUAUCAAGCCAAAUAAGAAUGACUCCAAACAAUCAAUUUACCACACGCAGAUUUUUUCUGGACAGCAGCAUAGCAGUCAACGGUUUUGCUCAUAAUUUACAAAAUAUCCAUCCAAAAAUAGUAAACUAAGAUUUUUUUGGAAAGCUUAUAAAGUCCUCUACAACUUUGGUACUAUCAUCACAAUGAGAUUCGAUAUUUAGAAAUGUCAAACAGUACUAAACGUAAAUUCUGUCCAGAUUUGGACAGAAUUCGACUACUUACUUCAAAACUCCAUAACUAGAGUUUCAGGAAUCCAAAUCUGGUGAUCCUAGACUUUUUAGAAAGCUAACAUAAUUUUCUACAAUUCAUUUAUAAACAUCUCAUGUUAAUUCAAUACAUAUCAAAGUCAGUUCAUACAAACAGACUUCUCUAUCCAGAUUUGGACAGAUUCAGACUCUAUAGUUAAAACAGCUGUAACUUGGUCUCUAGACCACCAAAAAGGGUGCUCUAAAAUUUGUUGGAAAGCUUAAAAAAAAUACUACAACUCUCCUAUAAUUACUAAGAGCUGAUUCUCAGAUUAAUUUAGUCAAACAGGGCAAUUUUCGAAAUCAGUACAAAAUUUGGACAGAUUCUGAAAUUGGACUUGGAAAAUUCAUAACUCCUAAACUAUUAGUCCUAUGGUCAUGAAAUUUUUACACAAGUAAGAUGAAGAGGUUAGCUACAACUUUUCUAUAUAACACUUUCACAGAAAACAUGAUUUACUUCACUCAAUUAGUUGCACAAUCAAAACUGUACGUGCAGGUUUGGACAGCAAUACUGUCAUCACUUAUUUUAACCAUAACCAUGAAUAUAAUCAUGUCACUAUCCACGAAGAGGUAUCACCACUAACUCAUGAUGCAUAUAUAUUCACCAAACACAUCUAUGCAAUUCAUCUAACAAUUCAAUCAAUAGUAAUAAUGAAUUAGCUUACCAACACUAAAUAGACUCGGAUUUCACAAGAGCAACAAGGAUCUCCGGUUCAUCCAUUCCAUCAAACACCUAGAGCGCGUCGAACUGAAACACUGUUUCUUCUCCAUCGAUUUUCCUAGAACUCUCUUCCAAUCUCACACACAAACACAUAGAGUUUCACAAGCGUCAUGACAUGGACAACAAACUGAAAUCAAAAUACAACACGCAAGGACUAGGGAAACAAUAAAGAGAUUUGGAGCUCACCACUUGACAAAAGGGAGGGGGCUGGCGCUUGGGCUUUCAUUCAUGGAGAACAAAAGAAGAAGGGGGAAGCUGCUGCUGGCGUGGGGAGAAAUCAGGGAGCAGAGAGGGGCGGCCAUGAGGGGGCUAGGAACCUGGCUAGGGGCUUUGACGCCAUGGGAAGCUGGAGCACGCCACAAACAGAGAGGGGCUGGGCGAGCUCAGCUUGGGGAGGAAGAUGAGGGAGGGGCGGCCAUGACAGGAGGAGGAAGAUGGCCGUAGUUUCUGGAUCGAUGAAGACGACUGAGAAUGGGAUAAGGGAGGGGCUGGUCGCUGGAGGCCUGGAGAGGAUGAGGUUGAGAGACACGGACGUGUGUGUAGGGAUGGGUACCGUGACUUCUAGAGUUCACUGCGGAUAAUGAGAGGAGGAUACGGUUUGGAUAAAUCAAAGGCAAAAUGGUGGAGAUGAUAAGUUAGGAUUCUUUUUUUUAAUAAUCUAUGGAUAAAUACGGGUGCUCGAAUUAACAUUUAACAGAUGCAAAUCGAUUGGACCAAAAUGAGAUCGGUGAUAAUAGUUGAACAGUGUUUGAUUUGGUAGGUAUUCCCAGAAUCAGAUAAAUUUUUAUGAGAUAUUUAUACCCGAACGUUUGAAUCUAGGCGAGAUACAAUCGGAACGAACUGGAACGAUGUCAACACCGAUAUUUUAGACCGCGUUCAAUUUGAUUUGAAAUCAAAUAAUUUCAUCUGUAGUCUGAACACCUGAUUCCACGGCUAUAGAUAAUUUACUGGAGAAACAGGUCUCAUUUAUAAAUCCUUGGAUGUGAUGAUUUCUCGGUUGGCAAGUAACCACUAAAUUAUUUUAUACCCAAAAACUUAGUCGUCGACUUCUAAUAAAUUUAUUUGGGGCUGAAAUCGGAGGACUGAACUAAAUUUUUAAGUUCGUAUUUGCACGAUCGAUGAGUUUUAAAUAAUCACCAAACUCACUAAUUUUUGGAACAAAUACAUUCUGACUUCGCGAAACAUUUAGAGUAGGCUGGAUAGACAGAGAUGAAAAUGAUAUCGAAAUUAUGAUCUUUUCGAAAGCGACGUCUUCGCGUGGAGUCCCUCGGACAUGCCCGGCAUACUGUCACACCCGGUUUUGGAAGGCAAACCGAAUGCGAACUAUGUACGUGCCAGGAUCAGAACUCACGUACACAGCGAUUACAUAAAUGAACAUCAUCGCACAAUGCUCGAAUAAUAACAUAAAAGAGUAUUAACUUAUUACAUCACAGAGUCAUAGACAUCCACAUAGUCAUCGUCUUAACAGGUAAAUCAAAGUACUAGCGAAACGUAGUAAAGACAAGGCCUCCACAGGCAGCUGACUGGGGGUUGCCGCCAACCCACACCUAGAAUUCGUCGUAAUCUUGGAACUCCUGGAAGUCUCCUUCCACGGCUUCACCUUCUCCUGAGCAGUGGUUACAAUGCGGACAACCUGGUGUUUUGUGGUAAAGCAAGGAUGAGUACACAUCAACGUACUCAGCAAAUGUCCCGUUUGGCUGAAGUGGACUAGCUUUAUGUGGGGUUAGGCUCCAACAGUUGCUUUUAGUUGGUCAAGUAUUUAUCAUUAGUAGAAGCCAGAUUUUAGCAUUUAACAACCCGUAAACCAUUUCCUCAUCGAGGAACUACAUCAUCAUAGUCGAACCAAAACCAUAACAUAAUCCUUGUCUCUCGAACCAUCUGUAUCUCUAAUCAAAGAGGAUCCCAAGGCUGCUCAUAACCGUGAGCACGGCUGAUAUAUCAGUUUCACUACCCUCUGCAGAGGUUGCACACUUUACCCAUGAGUCAUGAUUCCCUUUCUACCCGGGGAGAGCUAAUCCCCAUUGACCACUACCUAGGUGGUCCGGCAGGGCAUCACUACGUAGCUUUUACAAAGAUUUCCUAGAGAUCAUAGCUGCCCGUUAGGUUUCUCCAGUUUGAUGAACACAGUACCCCUCCCCGCAGGAGAGUGACUAACAAAGAGCAAAACGAAAGAACCUCGGCACUCAGCCUCGGCAGAGCAAGCAUUGUGCCUGGACCCCAUUGACGGCACGACGGCUAAGCAACUACACCUCUAGUUCCUCUAAUUAAUUAGCUAAGGGCAUCCCAUUUCACCCUCAUGGUUGCACUGUUAUCCCGGGUGGUCUCUCAACGAACAGGUCCUUACGGAGAGGUACUCAGGAAACAGCCUGAGCCCCCUAGAGUAUCACAAGAUCAUCAACAUCAUCCGGAUAACAGUAUCAUAAAUAGUCACAUCAUGUUCAUUGAUUAAGUUAAGGCAAUAGCAGAAUGCUAACCAUAACAGCCCAUAAGGUCAUCAAGGAUAAAGUAAAGUGUAAAGCUAGUCAAUCCUUAGGUUUCAAGUAAGUAAUGCGGGAUAGUAAGUUAUAAGUGAAUAGGACAUAAUGGGUCAGAGGACACUUGCCUUCACCAAACUGCUGAUCAGGGACUUCCUCUGCAACCUCCUCGGGAAACACAGACUGCUCGUUGUCUAUGUAAAGUAAUCAUUCACACUAUGCACUUGGGAAGAUAACAAACAAAAAGCAACAUACCAAACAUAUGCAGCAGAGAGAUCACAAGUUCAUAGUAGAAAAGGGAUAGGCACUCUGGUGUUCCCUAGGUCUAGGGUAGAGGACUAUACAAAGUGAUUCAUUAUCCACUAAUCAGGUUUAAGUCAGUGGUGGGGUUAAAUCCUUGCAUGGUUUUAAGUUCCUAAACUUAGGUGUUUAAGUCCAUAAACUUAGGUGCUCCAACUUUUACUAAAGUCUACCAACUUCUAAUUAUCUCAAAUAGGGUUCCAAUAACCUUAAUCCUAUCCUAAUGAUUAACUAUUAAUUGGUACAUGGAAACAGCAGGGAAACAUUGUUUAAAUAGAUAGACAAAAAUACCAUGAGCAUUUUGCAAUUUGAGGCACCUAAUUUGGAGUUCAUAUGACAAAGUUAUGAAUUUUACAAGUUUAGGGGUUAAAAAUAUACCCUAAAUACUUAUUUUGAAUUAAAUAAAAGGUCCGAGGACCUAACUGUAAGAAACUAGGGACGGCGGGUUUAAAUUUCAGAAAACCGGGGGUCUCUUUAAGAAAACGCGCGGGCGAAGGGGUAUCGGGCUCCUACGGCCGUCGGAUCUCAGAUCAACGCGCAGGAUUAGAUCCGCGGGCGGGCGCGCGAGCGCGCGGCGGCCUGAGCGGCUGACAGGCGGGGCCGGGCGGGCAGCGCGAGCGCGGCGGCUGACAGGCGGGGCCAGCGGGCAGCGCGGGCGCGGGCGGGCUGACAGGCGGGGCCGGGCGGGCAGCGCGAGCGCGGCGGCUGACAGGCGGGGCCAGCGGGCAGCGCGGGCGCGGGGUGUGAGGGAAGCGGCCCUGGGCCGUUGGAUCUCCGGUAGGCGGCCAGGAUUGGGCCCGGGCUAAUUGAAUCAGGGCCACCCGAUCUGGGAUGAACGGCGGGGGUCGGGUGGCCGGCCUUGGCCUUUCCUACGGCUAGCUGGGGCGGCGGCGCUCGUCCCCGCGGCGGAGGACUCGCCGAAGACGAGGGGCGCGGGCGCUCGGCGGGUCCCUGGGGCGACCUGAGCGGCCGGGGAGGUUGGGGAAGGCGCAGGGAGUCUUCUGGUGGGGGCUAGGUCGGGACAGGGGCACCGGAGGGGGGCGGUUCACGGCGAAGCGGCUCGGCGGCGGCGUUAAUCAACUCCGACGAGGAAUUAAACGCAGCAGAGAGCAAUACAAAGGUCGAUAGGGGGCGGGAGAGGUUCCUUACCUCAAGGCGGGCUCCGGGGACUCCUCGGUGGCGGCAAUGGCGCGACGGCGGUCUGGGGCGACGGUGGCGGACCUUCGCGGUUGCACGGAGGACGGCGGGUGAGCGCGGGCAGAGGGAAAUAGGGAGGGGGAGGGGGAAUUGGGGCGCGUCCCUGGUUGCGGACGUCGGGGCGGAGCUCACCGUGGCAGAGAGCACGGCGGAGCUCCGACGGCGACGGGGAAACGGCUCGGGCGGCGAUGGUUAGUGGCGGCGGCGCUCUGGCGUGUGCGCAGCGAGGGGGAGGUGAGAGAGAGGGGUCUGCUGGUGCGCAAAUGAGGGAGGGGGAGAGGGCGAGUGGGGUUCUGGCUCAAGUGGCCGGGGGCGGGGCGGUUGCGAGCUCCACGCGCGACGUGGGCGCGGAGUCCGCGGCAGCGCGCAGCUCGGGCGGCAGUUACGCGGAGAAGACGGGGCUGACAGGCCGGGCCCGCGAGCAGAGAGAGGUGAAAGCGGGUGCGGGCGCGCGGAAGGCGGCCGCGCUGACGGGCGGGCCCGCCGGGGCAGAGAGAGCGGGGGGGAAAGAGCGCGCGCGCGCGGGAUGGGCCUAGCUGGGCCGAAAGGCUGAGGGGGGCGGGGGAGUGGGCUUCUUUCCUUUUUUCUUUUAUUCUGGAAUUGUUUUCCCUUUUUCUUUUAUUUAUUCUAUUUGAUUCAAAUCCAAAUAUGCCACAAACUCAAAUUAGACUUUCCAAGAAUUAUGCACCAAACAAAAGUGAAAUCUAGGGUUCAACAUGAUACAACAAUUCAUACUCCCUUGGAGUUUUAGUUAAUAGACUAUAAUUACAAUUAAAAUAAGCACUUUUCUCCUAUAGAAAUGAGAAAGAAAAGAUUGGGGAAGGAUGAGAAAAGGGAAGUAACACCUGAAUUUGUGAAUAUGAGCAAAGAAAUUUUAUACCCCCAAAUUCAGGGUGUUACAAACCUAUCCCCUUAAAAGAAUCUCGCCCCGAGAUUCAAGGUUGGUCAGCAAAGAGUUCAGGGUAUUUGGCCUUCAGAUCAUCUUCUCGUUCCCAGGUUGCUUCUUCCUCCGAGUGGUGACCCCAUCUGACUUUGCACAUUCUGAUGGUGUUCCUCCGGGUGACUCUGUCUGCAAACUCCAGAAUCUGCGUUGGCUUCUCUAUGUAUGUCAGAUCCUCCUGGACUUCCAAACCCUCCACUGGCAACUGUUCUUCUGGUACUCGCAGACACUUCUUCAGUUGGGACACAUGGAACACAUUGUGCACUGCCGACAAACUUUCUGGUAGGUUGAGCUGGUAGGCCACUUCUCCACGCUUGGCUUGGAUCUGAUAUGGUCCGACGUACCGGGGUGCUAACUUGCCUUUAACUCCGAACCUUCUGACUCCCCUGAUAGGUGACACCUUCAGAUAGACGUAAUCUCCCACUUCGAAACUCAGUUCUCUUCUCCUUCGGUCCGCAUAGCUUCGCUGUCUUGACUGGGCUAUCUUCAGAUUCUCCCGAACCAUUUUGAUAUUCUCUUCGGCUUCAAGCAAGAUGUCGGGGCCAAACACCUGUCUCUCUCCUGGCUGGUCCCAAUGCAGCGGAGUCCUACAACUCCGCCCAUAGAGUGCCUGAAAUGGCGACAUCUUCAAGCUGGCCUGGUAACUAUUGUUAUAGGAGAAUUCUGCAUAAGGUAACCUUUUGUCCCAUCCUGACUUGUCUUGCAACGCACAGGCUCUCAACAUAUCUUCUAGGAUCUGAUUAGUUCUUUUAGUCUGACCGUCUGUCUGUGGGUGAUAAGCUGAGCUGAAGUUCAAAUGUGUGCCCAAAGCUUCUUGUAGCUGCUGCCAAAAAUGAGAGGUGAACUGCGUUCCUCGAUCUGACACUAUCUUCUUCGGUACACCAUGAAGGCAGACUAUCCGUGACAUGUAUAACUCAGCUAACGUUGCUCCGGUGUAUGUUAUCUUCACGGGUAUGAAAUGGGCCACCUUUGUUAAGCGGUCCACAACCACCUAGAUGGAAUCAUAACCGGCCCGGGUACGAGGUAGGCCAACUAUAAAAUCCAUCCCGAUCUCAUCCCACUUCCACUGAGGAAUCCGCAAUGGCUGCAACAAUCCGGCGGGUCUCUGAUGCUCUGCUUUGGUUCUUUGACAGCUAUCACAGAUGGCGACAUAUUCUGCGAUCUCUCUUUUCAUGCCAUACCACCAAAACCUUCUUUUUAAAUCCUGGUACAUCUUCUCGCUCCCUAGGUGUAUGGAGUAGGCUGUCUCAUGAGCUUCCUUGAGGAUCAGUUCCCGAAUAGGUUUGAGGUCGGGAACACACAAUCGGUCCUUGAACCAUAUUACCCCCUCUUCAUCCUCUCGAAAGUCUUUGCCUCUUCCUUCUAAGAUCAGCUGCCGGAUCUUGUUGAUGCUUUCAUCAUCCUUCUGCCCUUCUUUGAUCUCCCGCUCCAGGGUGGGCUCUAAUUCCACUGUUACUCCUUGCGUACUGUUCAGGAAACCGAGGCUCAGUCUGUCGAACUCUUUGGCUAACUCAUACGGCAUCGGGUACGAGGCCAACAUAUUGACUUGACUCUUCCUGCUCAGAGCAUCUGCAACAACAUUGGCUUUGCCUGGAUGGUAAUGUAUCUCCAACUCAUAGUCCUUGAUCAAUUCCAACCAUCUUCGUUGCCUCAUGUUUAACUCUGACUGGGUGAAUAUGUACUUCAGACUUUUAUGAUCUGUGUAGAUGUCGCACUUCUGCCCGUACAGGUAAUGUCUCCAGGUCUUUAAAGCAUGAACCACCGCUGCCAACUCCAGGUCAUGUGUGGGAUAAUUUUUCUCAUGGAUCUUCAGCUGUCGAGAUGAGUAUGCUACAACUCUUCCUUCUUGCAUUAGCACACAUCCCAAUCCGGUGUAAGAAGCGUCGCAAUACACUGAGAAUGACUUGUGAACAUCAGGCAGGACUAGCACAGAAGCUGUAGUCAAUCUAUUCUUCAGUUCUUCAAAUGCUUCCUGACAUUUUUGGGUCCACUUAAACUCAACUUUCUUCGCUAGUAACGCUGUCAUUGGUCUAGCAAUCUUUGAGAAGCCUUCGAUGAAACGCCAGUAGUAUCCGGCCAUUCCGAUGAAGCUUUUGAUCCCACGAACAUCCUUCGGUGCUUUCCAGUUCAGGAUAUCUGCCACUUUCUUUGGAUCCACUACUAACCCAUCUUGGUUUAUGAUGUGACCCAGAAAUAAGACUUCAUGAAUCCAGAACUCGCAUUUGCCCAGCUUGGCAUACAACUGAUGCUCUCGAAGUCUUUGCAAUACCAUCUUCAAAUGCUCUACAUGAUCUUCCUCACUUUGAGAGUAUAUGAGAAUGUCAUCGAUGAACACUACCACAAACUUGUCUAGAUAGUCCAUGAACACACUGUUCAUCAGAUACAUAAAGAAGGCUGGCGCAUUUGUCAAACCAAAGGACAUAACUGUGAACUCAUAUAACCCAUACUUGGUGAUGAAUGUUGUCUUCGGUAUGUCCGAGGGUCGGAUUCUGAGUUGAUGGUAACCUGAUCUCAGAUCUAUCUUCGAGAAUACGCUGGCACCUCUGAGCUGGUCGAACAAAUCUUCUAUCCUUGGCAGGGGGUACUUGUUCUUGACAGUGACUUCAUUCAAGGCUCUGUAGUCUAUGCACAUCCUUUUGGUACCAUCUUUCUUCUCUACAAACAACACUGGAGCGGCCCAAGGCGAGGUACUUGGCCUGAUGUAACCCUUCUCUAACAUCUCAUCUAUCUGCUUCUUGAGUUCUACCAGUUCUGGUCCAGACACUCGAUAGGCUCUUUUGGAAAUGGGGGCGGUACCAGGGAUAAGCUCUAUGGCAAAUUCGACUUUUCUCUCGGGUGGCAUGCCCGUUAGCUCCUCGGGAAACACAUCCGGAAAGUCUGACACAACCUUGAUAGCCUCGAGCGGGUUGGGCUCCUUACUAUCAACUGAAAUCUGGUGACAGACUCCCUCCGCUGAUUUAGGCAUCCUUAGCUCGGCCACUACCUCCUCUCCUGACGGGGACUUCAAUGUUACGGUCCUCUUGUCACAACUAACAUUUGCUUCAUACUUCAUUAACCAAUUCAUCCCUAGAAUAACAUCUAUCCCAGGGGUGUCUAUUACUAUUAAGUCACUGGGGAAUCCUUUCCCCCUUAUUUCCACCAUUAUAUUUGAGAAUAUUUUAUAUGUUUGCACCUUGCCACCAAUCGAAUUAAUCCUCAUGGGCGGCAUCAUUGCCUCUACUGAGAUGUUAUGCAAUUCUACCCAUGUUGCAGUGACAAAUGAAUGAGUUGCACCAGUAUCAAAUAGCACUUUUGCGGGAUGAGAUUCGACUGAGAACAUACCUACUGCCACAUCUGGUGCAUCUUGGAUUGCUUCGGCCUCCAAGUGGUUCACCUUUCCACGGUUGUACGCUUGGCUACGAUUGCCCGCUGCCGGCUGCAGUACACCUUGCCUUGUUGGAGCAUUGGGGUUGGUCUGCUGCUGCGCCAUCUUCUUUGGGCACUGCAUCGCCCAGUGGCCUUGAUCUCCACAGUGGAAACAUCCUCUGCCUCCUCCUUGUGCUGGGGCUGCUUGGUUGCUCUGAUUUGUUGCGGGGGCAGGAAGGCGAGGUGCCUGGUUGUUCUGCUUCUGAUACUGAUUACCUCCCUGCUGGCUGUGCUGACGAUACUGCUGCUGCUGCUAUGGGUACUGCCUCUGAAACUGCUGCUGAUGCGGAUGCUGAUUCUGAUUCUGAUAUCCCUGUGGGUGACCAGGCCUACCUUGCUGAGAUGAACUGCCUGAGAAACGGGGACGGCUGAUGCUUCCGGACUGGGGUCCACUCAUCUUGUGCUUCCGAUCUUCCAUAUCCUUACGCUUCUUCUCAGUCAAAACUGCCCUAUCGAUCAGGUGCUGGAAGGUGGGGAAGGUGUGGUUCAUCAGCUGGUAAUGCAGGGGAUCCACCAAACCUCUCAUGAACCUGUACUGCCUUUUAGCAUCAGUGUUGACGUCUUCAGGUGCAUAACGAGACAGCUGCAGAAACUUGUCUCUGUAUUCACUAACAGACAGGGGUCCCUGCUUCAGAGCCAGAAACUCCUCCUUCUUCACGAUCAUCAGUCCCUCUGGCACAUUGUCACACCCGGUUUUGGAAGGCAAACCGAAUGCGAACUAUGUACGUGCCAGGAUCAGAACUCACGUACACAGCGAUUACAUAAAUGAACAUCAUCACACAAUGCUCGAAUAAUAACAUAAAAGAGUACUUAUUACAUCAUAGAGUCAUAGACAUCCACUUAGUCAUUGUCUUAACAAGUAAAUCAAAGUGCUAAACGAAACGCAGUAAAGAUAAAGCCUCCACAGGCAGCUGACUGGGGGUUGCCGCCAACCCACUCCUAGAAUUCAUCGUAGUCUUGGAACUCCUGGAAGUCUCCUUCCACGGCUUUGCCUUCUCCCGAGCAGUGGUUACAAUGCGGACAACCUGGUGUUUUGUGGUAAAGCAAGGAUGAGUACACAUCAACGUACUCAGCAAAUGUCCCGUUUGGCUGAAGUGGACUAGCUUUAUGUGGGGUUAGGCUCAAGCAGUUGCUUUUAGUUGGUCAAGUAUUUAUCAUUAGUAGAAGCCAGAUUUUAGCAUUAACCAAUCCGUAAACCAUUUCCUCAUCGAGGAACAUCAUCAUCGUAGUCGAACCAAAACCAUAACAUAAUCCUUGUAUCUCGAACCAUCUGUAUCACUAAUCAAAGAGGAUCCCAAGGCUGCUCUUAACCGUGAGCACGGCUGAUAUACCAGUUUCACUACCCUCUGCAGAGGUCGCACACUUUACCCAUGAGUCAUGAUUCCCUUUCUACCCGGGGAGAGCUAAUCCCCAUUGACCACUACCUAGGUGGUCCGGCAGGGCCUCACUACGUAGCUUUUACAAAGAUUCCCCAGAGAUCGUAGCUGCCCGUUAGGUUUCUCCAGUUUGAUAAACACAGUACCCCUCCCCGCAGGAGAGUGACUAACAAAGAGCAAAACGAAAGAACCUCGGCACUCAGCCUCGGCAGAGCAAGCACUGUGCCUGGACCCCAUUGACGGCACGACGGCUAAGCAGCUACACCCCUAGUUCAUCUAAUUAAUCAGCUAAGGGCAUCCCAUUUCACCCUCAUGGUUGCACUGUUAUCCCGGGUGGUCUCUCAACGAACCAGUCCUUACGGAGAGGUACUCAGGAAACAGCCUGAGCCCCCUAGAGUAUCACAAGAUCAUCAACAUCAACAGGAUAACAGUAUCAUAAAUAGCCACAUCAUGUUCAUUGAUUAUGUUAAAGCAAUAGCAAAGUGCUAACCAUAAUAGCCCAUAAGGUCAUCAAGGAUAAAGUAAAGUGCAAAGCUAGUCAAUCCUUAGGUUUCAAGUAAGUAAUGCGGGAUAGUAAGUUAUAAAUGAAUAGGACAUAAUGGGACAGAGGACACUUGCCUUCACCAAACUGCUGAUCAGGGACUUCCUCUGCAACUGCCUCGGGAAACACAGACUGCUCGUUGUCUACGCAAAGCAAUCAUUCACACUAUGCACUUGGGAAAAUAGCAAACAAAAACAAUAUACCAAACAUAUGCAGCUGAGAGGGGUCACAAGUUCAUAACAGAAAAGGGAUAGGCACUCUAAAGUUCCCUAGGUCUGGGGGUAGAGGACUACACAAAGUGAUUCACUAUCCACUAAUCAGGUCUAAGUUAGUGGUGGGAUUAAAUAAUUAUCUGGUUUAAGUUCCUAAACUUAAGUGUUUAAGUCCAUAAACUUAAGUAAUCCAACUUUUAUUAAAGUCUACCCAUUUCCAAUUAUCUUAAAAAAGGUUUCAAUAGUCUUAAUCCUAUCCUAGUGAUUAGCUAUUAAUUAAUACAUGGAAACAGCAGGGAAACAUUGCAUAAACAGAUAGAUAAUAAUAUUAUGAACAUUUUGCAAUUUGAAGCACCUAAUUUGGAGUUCAUAUGACAAAGUUAUGAAUUUUACAAGUUUAGGGGUUAAAAUUAUACCCUAAGGACUUAUUUUUAAUUAAAUAAAAGGGCCAGGGACUUAACUGCGAGAAACCAGGGACGGCGGGCGCAAUUUCCAGAAAACAGGGGGGCUCUUUAAGAAAAUGCGCGGGCGAAGGGGUAUCGGGCGCCUACAGCCGUUGGAUCUCAGAUCGACGGCUAGGAUUAGAUCCCGCGGCGGGCGCGCGGGCGCGCGGCGGCGUGAGCGGCUGACAGGCGGGGCCGGGCGGACAGCGCGGGCGCGGGGCUGACAGGCGGGGCCGGGCGGACAGCGCGGGCGCGGGCGACUGGCAGGCGGGGCCGGGCGGACAGCGCGCGCGGGCGGACUGACAAGCGGGGCCGGGCGGACAGAGAGACGGGGUGAGGGGGUAGUGGGCCUGGGCCGCUGGAUCGCUGGCGGACGGCCAGGAUUAGGUCCGGGCGAGUUGAAUCAGGACCGCCCGAUCUGGGUUGAACGACGGAGAUCGGAUGGGCGGCCUGGGUCUUCCCUACGGCUAGCUGGGGCGGCGGCGCUCGUCCCCGCGGCGGAGGGCUCGCCGGAGACGAGGGGCACGGGCGACUGGCGGGGCUCUGGGGCAAUCCGAGUGGUCGGGGAGGUCGGGGAGGGCACGGGGACUCCAUUGGUGGGGUCUGGGUCAGGGCAGAGGCACCGGAGGGGGGCGGUUCACGGCGGGGCGGCUCGGCGGCGGGGUUAUUCUACUCCGGCGAGCAAUCAAACGCAACAGAGAGCCAAACAAGGGGCGAUAGGGGCGGGAGAGGUCCCUUACCUCAAGGCGGGCUCCGGGGACUCCUCGGCGGCGACAGAGACGCGACGGGGACCCGGGUCGACGGUGGCGGCUGCACGGCGGACGACGGGUGAGCGCGGGCAGAGAGAAAUAGGGAGGGGGAGAGGGAAUUGGGGCGCGUUCCGGGUUGCGGACGUCGGGGCGGAGCUCACCGGGGCUAAGGGCGCGGCGGAGCUCCAAAGGCGACGAGAAACCGAGCUCGGGACGGCGGGGUUAUGGCGGCGGCGCUCUGCGUGCGCGCAGCGAGGGGGAAAGAGGGUCUACUGGGCGCAAAUGGGGGGAGAGGGUGAGGGCGAGUGGGGCUCGGGGCACAAGUGGCCGAGGGCGAGGUGGGGCGAGUCCCACGCGCGACGUGGGCGCGGGGAAGGCGGGCGCGAGCAGCUCGGCGGCGGUUACGCGGGGACGACGGGGCUGACAAGCCGGGCCCGCAACGCAGAGAGAGAGAAGAAAGCGGGUGCGGGCGCGAGAGAAGCGGGGCUGACGGGUUGGGCCCACGGGCAGAGAGAGAGCGAGGGAGCGGGCGCGCGGGGGGAAGCGGCAGCGCCGACAGGUGGGGCCGGGCGAGCAGUGAGAGAGGGAGGCGGGUACGCGGAAGGCGACCGCGCCGACAGGCCGGGCCCGCUGCGCAGAGAGAGGAGGGGAGAGAGGCGCGCGCGCGGGAAUGGGCCGGCUGGGCCGAAAGGCCGAGGGGGCGGCUGGGUUGGGCCUCUUUGCCUUUUUCUUUUAUUCUGAAUUGUUUUUCCCUUUUCUUUUUACCUAUUCUAUUUGAUUCAAAUUCAAAUGAGCCCCAAAAUCCAAAUUAGACUUUUUGAGAAUUAUGCACCAAACAAAAGUGAAAUCUAGGGUUCAACAUGAUGCAACAAUUCAUACUCCCUUAGGGUUUAACAUAAUAGACUAUAAUUACAAGUAAAAUAAGCACUUAGCUCCUAUAGAAAUGAGAGAGAAAAGAAUUAGGAAGGAUGAGAAAAGGAAGUAACACCUGAAUUUGUGAAUAUGAGCAAAGAAAUUUUAUACCCCCAAAUUCAGGGUGUUACACACAUGGUACCUGCGGAAACUCUCGCUGAAUUCUUCCCAGGUGAUGGCUUCGGGGUCAGCAUGUGUGGCGAGGUAGGACUCCCACCAGGACUGGGCUGCUCCCCUUAGCUGCCGGGGACCAUACAGAACCUUCUCCCUGUCGUCACAUUGGGCGGUGCGCAGUUCCCUUUCCACCGCGUGCAGCCAGUCUUCUGCAUCCAUGGGGUCAGCAGAAUGGGCGAAGGUAGGAGGGUGCCCUCUCAUGAACUCACCACGCUUAUCCCGUGGCAUCUGGGGCAUCUGCACUUGCAAUUGGGGUUGGGGUUGCUGUUGAGCCUGCUGCAUGGCUGCCAGAGUCUGCCCAAUGGCCUGCACUACCUGAGUCUGCAUCAAGAACAUCUGCUCCACUGACAUCGGGGGUGGUGGGGGAGGCUGCCUCUGUUGUUCCUCCUGCUGGUCAUGCUGCUCUUGUUGAGCACGCCUGUUGCAUCGGCGCCUGUUGUCAGACAUCUGUGGAAGACAUUCAUACAUCAGCAUUGAUCUUACAAUCCUUCAGCAUAAGAAAAGAGAAUACGGAAUUCUUCAUGACACUGAGUGAAUAAAGAGCUUCACUGAUCCUCAUUUAUGAUUCAACACAGCUUCUCAGAUAAGAAGGAAAGUAGAAGUAAAUGGUUUCCCAACUAAACAACUGACUUCAUUAACAUUACUAGCUAGGCCAAACUGCAGGGGAAACCCACAGGUUGGCAACAGUCAUUACAAAGAUUCGAAUCCAGCACAAGUUCAUCAUAACAAGCAUGAAAGCAACUGAUAAGCAAACUAAACUAAAUGGAAGCAACUGAUAAGCAAACUAAAGUGACUACCUAAGACUGAGACAUCUGACUUAAGAAUUAUUACAAACUCCGACGCUAACGAUCUAAGGAUCCAGAUCUAUCCUGGUCUUACAGGCAGGGGAACCAUAAGUGUGGUGACCACGUGGCGGCGAGCGGUAAGGAUGCUAAGUCCCAACAGGAGCGGGGGAACCACCCUCCUGGUGAUGGCGCUCUGCCAGCUCAGCACGCAACUCCGCAAUCUCCGUUCGAGCCCUGCUUAGCUCGUCCAGAGAGUGAUCCAGCUCAGUGUUAAGCACCGCGACUAGGUUGACUGUGCUGCUCAACCUAGGGUUAGCCUCACCAACAGGUGAGACAACCACACUCUCUGUGCUGCCAGUAGGGCGGCGGGGGUAGUACCGAAGGUUAAGACCGUCGGCCACCCCACCGAACAAAGAACAGUACUGGGAGAGUGCACGUCGUGCUGCAUCCUGCAUAGCCGCCUCUGCAGUGUCCCUCUCGGAGAUGGAAUAGUGCUCUGAAACGGCCUCCGCACCCCGGAGGUCAUCCUCCGGACGGCGAACUAGGCAGGUAGCCUCCCAGCGGUCCGGGUACCUCCCGCGACUGUGCUGGUAGACUACACAACGAUACUCGAUCGACCAGGUGUGCCGGUCGAAAGCCUGGCGCAGCAAGGUGUCGAGUGCGUCGUGGAAGUGACAACCGCGAGCGGCGUCACGGGUGAUGGGUCGGGCGACCCAUCCUUCCACCUCCUGCGGCUCAGAAGACUCCGUGCUGUGGUCUGAGUCGUCGUCGUCGGGGUCUCCUCCAGGAUCUCCUCCAGUAGCUCCUCCAACAGCCGGGGCGUCCCGCGGUGGUGCAGGGGGCGCCUCCAGCUGGGCCACAGAGGAACGGGGCCUCACGGACUCCACCUCUCACUGGGGUGGGGAGGAAGAGCCCUGCUGCUCUCUGUGCUGGCGCCGGCGUUCCUGCUCCUCACGCAGGCGGUGGUGCAGCCUCUCCAGGUGACUCGACUGACCGGACAUGGUGCGGUGCAGAGGACGCUCCGCAAGUCGAGACGGCAGGAAAGGAAUCACCGACUUACGUGCAGUGUGUCUAAGACGAGCCAUCUACAAAAGACACCGUAAGCAUAAGAGUAAGAGCAGAAAUAAUAUGACAAGUGAAUAAACCAUAGACAGAAUAAGAUAAAAAUUUUAACAAGGUAUAAUAUAGUAUAUAUAUGUAGUAAAACGUAGGGUUGGUCGAGGUGACCGACUUUUGAAGCAACAUCAGAGGUCAAGGUGAGAGGGGAGGUCAAUAGUCCUUAGUACGACCAGUGCUACUCUAGGUCAGCGGUCCUACAGUCAGCACGGCUUUGAUACCACUUAUGUCACACCCAGUUUUGGAAGGCAAACCGAAUGCGAACUAUGUACGUGCCAGGAUCAGAACUCACGUACACAGCGAUUACAUAAAUGAACAUCAUCGCACAAUGCUCGAAUAAUAACAUAAAAGAGUAUUAACUUAUUACAUCACAGAGUCAUAGACAUCCACAUAGUCAUCGUCUUAACAGGUAAAUCAAAGUACUAGCGAAACGUAGUAAAGACAAGGCCUCCACAGGCAGCUGACUGGGGGUUGCCGCCAACCCACACCUAGAAUUCGUCGUAAUCUUGGAACUCCUGGAAGUCUCCUUCCACGGCUUCACCUUCUCCUGAGCAGUGGUUACAAUGCGGACAACCUGGUGUUUUGUGGUAAAGCAAGGAUGAGUACACAUCAACGUACUCAGCAAAUGUCCCGUUUGGCUGAAGUGGACUAGCUUUAUGUGGGGUUAGGCUCCAGCAGUUGCUUUUAGUUGGUCAAGUAUUUAUCAUUAGUAGAAGCCAGAUUUUAGCAUUUAACAACCCAUAAACCAUUUCCUCAUCGAGGAACAACAUCAUCAUAGUCGAACCAAAACCAUAACAUAAUCCUUGUCUCUCGAACCAUCUGUAUCUCUAAUCAAAGAGGAUCCCAAGGCUGCUCAUAACCGUGAGCACGGCUGAUAUAUCAGUUUCACUACCCUCUGCAGAGGUUGCACACUUUACCCAUGAGUCAUGAUUCCCUUUCUACCCGGGGAGAGCUAAUCCCCAUUGACCACUACCUAGGUGGUCCGGCAGGGCAUCACUACGUAGCUUUUACAAAGAUUUCCUAGAGAUCAUAGCUGCCCGUUAGGUUUCUCCAGUUUGAUAAACACAGUACCCCUCCCCGCAGGAGAGUGACUAACAAAGAGCAAAACGAAAGAACCUCGGCACUCAGCCUCGGCAGAGCAAGCACUGUGCCUGGACCCCAUUGACGGCACGACGGCUAAGCAACUACACCUCUAGUUCCUCUAAUUAAUUAGCUAAGGGCAUCCCAUUUCACCCUCAUGGUUGCACUGUUAUCCCGGGUGGUCUCUCAACGAACAGGUCCUUACGGAGAGGUACUCAGGAAACAGCCUGAGCCCCCUAGAGUAUCACAAGAUCAUCAACAUCAUCCGGAUAACAGUAUCAUAAAUAGUCACAUCAUGUUCAUUGAUUAAGUUAAGGCAAUAGCAGAAUGCUAACCAUAACAGCCCAUAAGGUCAUCAAGGAUAAAGUAAAGUGUAAAGCUAGUCAAUCCUUAGGUUUCAAGUAAGUAAUGCGGGAUAGUAAGUUAUAAGUGAAUAGGACAUAAUGGGUCAGAGGACACUUGCCUUCACCAAACUGCUGAUCAGGGACUUCCUCUGCAACCUCCUCGGGAAACACAGACUGCUCGUUGUCUACGUAAAGUAAUCAUUCACACUAUGCACUUGGGAAGAUAACAAACAAAAAGCAACAUACCAAACAUAUGCAACAGAGAGAUCACAAGUUCAUAGUAGAAAAGGGAUAGGCACUCUGGUGUUCCCUAGGUCUAGGGUAGAGGACUAUACAAAGUGAUUCAUUAUCCACUAAUCAGGUUUAAGUCAGUGGUGGGGUUAAAUCCUUGCAUGGUUUUAAGUUCCUAAACUUAGGUGUUUAAGUCCAUAAACUUAGGUGCUCCAACUUUUACUAAAGUCUACCAACUUCUAAUUAUCUCAAAUAGGGUUCCAAUAACCUUAAUCCUAUCCUAAUGAUUAACUAUUAAUUGGUACAUGGAAACAGCAGGGAAACAUUGUUUAAAUAGAUAGACAAAAAUACCAUGAGCAUUUUGCAAUUUGAGGCACCUAAUUUGGAGUUCAUAUGACAAAGUUAUGAAUUUUACAAGUUUAGGGGUUAAAAAUAUACCCUAAAUACUUAUUUUGAAUUAAAUAAAAGGUCCGAGGACCUAACUGUAAGAAACUAGGGACGGCGGGUUUAAAUUUCAGAAAACCGGGGGUCUCUUUAAGAAAACGCGCGGGCGAAGGGGUAUCGGGCUCCUACGGCCGUCGGAUCUCAGAUCAACGCGCAGGAUUAGAUCCGCGGGCGGGCACGCGAGCGCGCGGCGGCCUAAGCGGCUGACAGGCGGGGCCAGCGGGCAGCGCGGGCGCGGGCGGGCUGACAGGCGGGGCCGGGCGGGCAGCGCGAGCGCGGCGGCUGACAGGCGGGGCCAGCGGGCAGCGCGGGCGCGGGGUGUGAGGGAAGCGGCCCUGGGCCGUUGGAUCUCCGGUAGGCGGCCAGGAUUGGGCCCGGGCUAAUUGAAUCAGGGCCACCCGAUCUGGGAUGAACGGCGGGGGUCGGGUGGCCGGCCUUGGCCUUUCCUACGGCUAGCUGGGGCGGUGGCGCUCGUCCCCGCGGCGGAGGACUCGCCGAAGACGAGGGGCGCGGGCGCUCGGCGGGUCCCUGGGGCGACCUGAGCGGCCGGGGAGGUUGGGGAAGGCGCGGGGAGUCUUCUGGUGGGGGCUAGGUCGGGACAGGGGCACCGGAGGGGGGCGGUUCACGGCGAAGCGGCUCGGCGGCGGCGUUAAUCAACUCCGACGAGGAAUUAAGCGCAGCAGAGAGCAAUACAAAGGUCGAUAGGGGGCGGGAGAGGUUCCUUACCUCAAGGCGGGCUCCGGGGACUCCUCGGUGGUGGCAAUGGCGCGACGGUGGCCCGGGGCGACGGUGGCGGACCUUCGCGGUUGCACGGAGGACGGCGGGUGAGCGCGGGCAGAGGGAAAUAGGGAGGGGGAGGGGGAAUUGGGGCGCGUCCCGGGUUGCGGACGUCGGGGCGGAGCUCACCGUGGCAGAGAACACGGCAGAGCUCCGACGGCGACGGGGAAACGGCUCGGGCGGCGAUGGUUAGUGGCGGUGGCGCUCUGGCGUGUGCGCAGCGAGGGGGAGGUGAGAGAGAGGGGUCUGCUGGUGCGCAAAUGAGGGAGGGGGAGAGGGCGAGUGGGGUUCUGGCUCAAGUGGCCGGGGUCGGGGCGGUUGCGAGCUCCACGCGCGACGUGGGCGCGGAGUCCACGGCAGCGCGCAGCUCGGGCGGCAGUUACGCGGAGAAGACGGGGCUGACAGGCCGGGCCCGCGAGCAGAGAGAGGGGAAAGCGGGUGCGGGCGCGUGGAAGGCGGCCGCGCUGACGGGCGGGCCCGCCGGGGCAGAGAGAGCGGGGGGGAAAGAGCGCGCGCGCGGGGGAUGGGCCUAGCUGGGCCGAAAGGCUGAGGGGGGCGGGGGAGUGGGCUUCUUUCCUUUUUUUCUUUUAUUCUGGAAUUGUUUUCCCUUUUUCUUUUAUUUAUUCUAUUUGAUUCAAAUCCAAAUAUGCCACAAACUCAAAUUAGACUUUCCAAGAAUUAUGCACCAAACAAAAGUGAAAUCUAGGGUUCAACAUGAUGCAACAAUUCAUACUCCCUUGGAGUUUUAGUUAAUAGACUAUAAUUACAAUUAAAAUAAGCACUUUUCUCCUAUAGAAAUGAGAAAGAAAAGAUUGGGGAAGGAUGAGAAAAGGGAAGUAACACCUGAAUUUGUGAAUAUGAGCAAAGAAAUUUUAUACCCCCAAAUUCAGGGUGUUACACAUACCGAGGGAUGUCGCCGAGCACUCGCUGGAUAUCCGAGCUGGAGCCCGACCCAUGAAGCAGCCUCUGUGCCGAUUCGACGAAGAAAAGCGCAGAGCCAUAGGCGAGGAGAUCCACAAGCUAAUGGCGGCAGGGUUCAUCAAAGAGGUAUUCCAUCCCGAAUGGCUUGCCAACCCUGUGCUUGUGAGAAAGAAAGGAGGGAAAUGGCGGAUGUGUGUAGACUACACUGGUCUAAAUAAAGCAUGUCCAAAAGUUCCCUACCCUCUGCCUCGCAUCGAUCAAAUCGUGGAUUCCACUGCUGGGUGCGAAACCCUGUCUUUCCUCGAUGCCUACUCAGGGUAUCACCAAAUCAGGAUGAAAGAGUCCGACCAGCUCGCGACUUCUUUCAUCACACCUUUCGGCAUGUACUGCUAUGUUACCAUGCCGUUCGGUUUGAGGAAUGCGGGUGCGACAUACCAAAGGUGCAUGAACCACGUGUUCAGCGAACACAUUGGCCGAACGGUCGAGGCCUACGUUGAUGACAUCGUAGUCAAGACAAGGAAAGCCUCCGACCUCCUUUCCGACCUUGGAGCGACAUUCCGAUGUCUCAAGGCGAAAGGCGUAAAACUCAAUCCCAAGAAGUGUGUCUUCGGGGUCCCCCGAGGCAUGCUCUUGGGGUUCAUCGUCUUCGAGCAGGGCAUCGAGGCCAACCCGGAGAAGAUCGCGGCCAUCACCAGCAUGGGGCCCAUCAAGGACUUGAAAGGCGUAGAGAGUGUCACGGGAUGCCUUGCGGCUCUGAGCCGUUUCAUCUCGCGCCUCGGCGAAAGAGGCCUGCCUCUGUACCGCCUCUUAAGGAAGGCCGAGUGCUUCACUUGGACCCCUGAGGCCGAGGAAGCCCUCGGGAACCUGAAGGUGCUCCUCACGAACGUGCCCAUCUUGGUGCCCCCCGCUGCCGGAGAAGCCCUCUUGAUCUACGUCGCCGCUACCACUCAGGUGGUUAGCGCCGCGAUUGUGGUUGAGAGACGAGAAGAGGGGCAUGCAUUGCCCGUCCAGAGGCCAGUCUACUUCAUCAGUGAGGUACUGUCCGAGACCAAGAUCUGCUACCCACAAAUUCAGAAGCUGCUGUACGCGGUGAUCCUAACGCGGCGGAAGUUGCGACACUACUUCGAGUCUCAUCCGGUAACUGUGGUGUCAUCCUUCCCCCUGGGGGAGAUCAUCCAGUGCCGAGAGGCCUCGGGUAGAAUUGCAAAGCAGGCGGUGGAAAUCAUGGGCGAAACGAUCUCGUUCGCCCCUCGGAAGGCCAUCAAGUCCCAGGUCUUGGCGGACUUUGUGGCUGAAUGGGUCGACACCCAGCUCCCAACAGAUCCGAUCCAACCGAAACUCUGGACCAUGUUUUUCGACGGGUCGCUGAUGAAGACAGGAGCAGGCGCAGGCCUGCUCUUCAUCUCGCCCCUCGGGAAGCACCUACGCUAUGUGCUACGCCUCCAUUUCUCGGCGUCCAACAAUGUGGCCGAGUACGAGGCUCUGGUCAACGGGUUGUGCAUCGCCAUCGAGCUAGGGGUCCGACGCCUCGACGCACGCGGUGACUCGCAGCUCGUCAUCGACCAAGUCAUGAAGAACUCCCACGACCCGAAGAUGGAAGCCUACUGCGAUGAGGUUCGGCGCCUGGAAGACAAGUUCUACGGGCUCGAGCUCAACCACAUCGCCCGACGCUACAACGAGACUGUGGACGAGCUGGCUAAAAUAGCCUCGGGGCGAACAACGGUUCCCCCGGACGUCUUCUCUCGAGACCUGCAUCAACCCUCCGUCAAGACCGACGACACACUCGAGCCCGAGAAGGCCUCGGCUCAGUCUGAGGCACCCUCGGCUCGGCCCGAGGUACCCUCGGCCCCCGAGGGUGAGGCACUGCGCGUCGAGGAGGAGCGGAGCAGGGCCACGCCUAAUCGAAACUGGCAGACCCCGUACCUGCAAUAUCUCCACCGAGGAGAGCUACCCCUCGACCGAGCCGAAGCUCGGCGGUUGGCGAGGCGCGCCAAGUCGUUCGUCUUGUUGGGAGACAGGAAGGAGCUCUACCACCGCAGCCCCUCAGGCAUCCUCCAGCGAUGCAUUUCCAUCGCCGAAGGCCAGGAGCUCUUACAAGAGAUACACUCGGGGGCUUGCGGCCAUCACGCAGCACCUCGAGCCCUUGUUGGAAACGCCUUCCGACAAGGCUUCUACUGGCCGACGCCACUAGAAUUGUCCGCACCUGCCAAGGGUGUCAAUUCUAUGCAAGGCAGACCCACCUGCCCGCUUAGGCUCUGCAGACCAUACCCAUCACCUGGUCGUUUGCUAUGUGGGGUCUGGACCUCGUCGGCCCCUUGCAGAAGGCACCCGGGGGCUACACGCACCUGCUGGUCGCCAUCGACAAAUUCUCCAAGUGGAUCGAGGUCCGACCCCUAAACAGCAUCAGGUCCGAACAGGCGGUGGCGUUCUUCACCAACAUCAUCCAUCGCUUUGGGGUCCCGAACUCCAUCAUCACCAACAACGGCACCCAGUUCACCGGCAGAAAGUUCCUGGACUUCUGCGAGGAUCACCACAUCCGGGUGGACUAGGCCGCCGUGGCUCACCCCAUGACGAAUGGGCAAGUAGAGCGUGCCAACGGCAUGAUCCUGCAAGGGCUCAAGCCGCGGAUCUACGAUGACCUCAACAAGUUCGGCAAGCGAUGGAUGAAGGAGCUCCCCUCGGUGGUCUGGAGUCUGAGGACAACGCCGAGCCGAGCCACGGGCUUCACACUGUUCUUUCUAGUCUAUGGGGCCGAGGCCAUCUUGCCCACAGACUUAGAAUACGGUUCCCCGAGGACGAGGGCCUACGCCGACCAAAGCAAUCGAUCUAAUCGAGAAGACUCACUGGACCAGCUAGAAGAAGCUUGGGACAUGGCCUUACUACACUUGGCGCGGUACCAGCAGUCCCUGCGACGCUACCACGCCCGAGGGGUUCGGUCCCGAGACCUCUAGGUGGGCGACCUGGUGCUUCGGCUGCGACAAGACGCCCGAGGGCGGCACAAGCUCAUGCCUCCCUGGGAAGGGUCGUUCGUCGUCGCCAAGGUUCUAAAGCCCGGAACGUACAAGCUGGCCAACAGUCAAGGCGAGGUCUACAGCAACGCUUGGAACAUCCGACAGCUACGUCGCUUCUACCCUUAAGAUGCUUUCAAGUCGUUCAUACACCUCGGUCACAUACAAAGUCUAGUCAUCAAGGAAGGGUCAGCCUUGCCUCGGCAAAGCCCGACCCUCCCUCGGGGGCUAAAAGGGGGGAACCCCCUCUGCGUCAAAAUUUUCCUCGGAAAAAGAUCUUUUCUGCCAGAAUAUCUUUCGUGCUUUUCGACUACUUCGAAAGUGGAUCCUGAAAACGACGGAGUACACGUAAGCAGCCAAGGCUGACCGAGUCGAGGGACUCCUACGCCUCCGGGAUACGGAUACCUCACUCAUCACCUUCUACGAUAAGUAACUCACGCUCGGAUAAGUGAUUCCGCGGACCGAACAAGUCUUCACGCUCGAAAACUCCUCUGCCGAAACGAUUUUUCGGGCCUUCUCGACUACGUCGGUGACAGAACCCUAUGGACGAGUAAGAGUGCACGUAAGCAGCAAGGCCGACCGAGCCGACGGAUUCCUACGCCUCCGGGAUACGGAUACCUCACUCGUCACCUUCCAUGAAAAGUAACUCUCGCUCGGACAAGCAAUUCUGUUACUGACAAAUAAGUCCAGAUACUCGAGACAACAGGAAAAGGAACGUAGCUUUACAACACGACGACAGUAUGUUUGGGCCUCGGCGGCCGCAUAAAACAUACGCACACUACAAGAUAACCCGAUCCUGCAGGCUCGGAUCUUGACAGUUGAAGGGAGCAGCAGCACCCUCGGCGUCAACUACACCUUCGGCGAGGUCCGGCCUAGCCUCGGACGGCGACACGGUCGGAGGAUCUCCACUCCGAAGGACGACAUCAGCACCAUGCCCGGGCCAUCGCCGCCAGGGUCUUCUCCAGGAAUCCGGCUCGAGCAAACGGCUCGGUCGGCCACCCCGAAGCCUCAGCCAGCUGUCCCCCGAGGACAUCAGCCCGGCUCGUGGCAUCGGCGACUCAACUCCGGCGUCGGUCCCGCCAGUGGACGACCCGGCCAGGCUCCGGCCGACCAAAUCUUCUUUUCGAGCCAACUCUGCCUCUGUCCGUGCUGACACCGCUACCUCCAGCUUCGGCUCAUCGAAGAGCGGCCGAGGGUUCCUUUAACUAAGCAAGAGAAGCCUCGGACAACAAGGCCGACCGAGCCGAGGGACUCCUACGCCUCCGGGAUACGGAUACCUCACUCGUCACCUUCGCACGAGGCGACUCACGCUUGGUGAAGCGGUUCAGAUAGCCGACAGGCGAGUCUUAGUGCUCGAAAUGAGGAAAAAACACGGCUCCGUGCCGAAAAUACAUACAUGUUCAGGCCCCGACAGCCGCAACGAACAAGACACUGGCACUCAAGGUGCCAUUACAAACGGAACUCUGGUUCCGUCCCCGCGGGUACGAACAACCCCCUCACAUUGGAGGGCCCGCGGGGCGAUAAGGCUCCAGGUCGCCCACCGUCGCCCGCUCCAGCAGCAGCGACGACGACCUCCGCUCCGGGUGGCCGAACUGCAGCAGCGAUGGCCUCAGGGAGGACGCCGCUGCGACAAUUCCCUCGCCCACAUCUACUCCCGAGGGGCGAGGACAAGUACAAAGAGCCGGAGGCUCGGAGCGCGGAUGGUGGCGGUGAUCCCGCCGGUGACGAGGACUUCUCCAGCCGCCGCCACCUUAGCACCGAUGACAGCAGUCGUCUGCCCACCGGCAGAUCCCCACUCGGAUCCUCCCGGACGAGCGGAGCACCGACCUCCGCGCAGAGGCGCCGUACCGGGGCAAAGGCAGGACAGCCCUAGAACACGAACGCCGCCCUAGUAGCGCGCGACGUCUUGGGCGGUCCUCCGGUGCGCGUGGCGCAACAACCGCCCUUGCGGCGAGAGGAGGCACCGGGAGCCAAGCCAGAGCCAGCUGAGCCGGCAAGCCCGACACGCUGAAGCUGACGACACGCCGCCGAUCGGCCCCGCGUUGUCGAAGUCCGCCCCUCCCGCUAGGCUGGUGAGCGCCCUCUCCCUUGAAUGCUGAAGGAGAGGCUGACCCACGAACCCGCGCGGGAGGAAGAGCUCCGGCUCAGCCCGGCCUCCGCCCCAGCAAGGAUGAUGAACAUCCUUGAAGCUGAGGGAGGGGCAGAGACCGCAGCCCGGCUUGCUUCUCCCCACCCAGGAGCUGGUGGUCACCGUCUUGGGUGACCACCGGCGAGGGGGUGCGGCCGGGCUGCCUGAUGAAAAUCCUUGAAGCCGAACGAUGGCUGAAAGGUACCAACUUCCACGAAGUUGCGUUCCUCCAACGACAAGGCGGAAGGAUUGCGGGUGUUCCCCAUCCGGGGGCUCGGAAGGUGGAAAGACGCGAUACAUAAGGGAGCGCAAAGACAUGGUCGCCUUUCAAGGGGAUCACCCUCCUUUUAAAGGCGACUCUCCCCACUUGCGUCCUCAGCCAUCGCGGGCUGAGUCUUCUCCAACACGCUCCAACGUCCUCCCCCUACGACACGGGGGCUGGGUCCCACGCGUCAUGCAAGCUGGCCCAGGGCAGAAGAAGCCAAACCGCCGCACGCGGUGCAUGCAACUGCCCAGCGGUUACAAGCAUUCCUCCACUUUCGCCCAGACCAGCGGGUGAAAGGGCGGACAACCAUGCAGUCGGCAUGCAACCGUGCCAAGUGGGCACACCCCUUCGACUCCAACGCGCCCAGCAUGGAGGCCCAGGCCCACACAUCAUGCAACCGGCGCGCCGGUUGCUAUGUGCGAGCAACUGCACCGCCCCUCGCGCCACUACCGCGCCUCCUCGAUUGCGGAACCAGUACCGCGACUCGAGGCAACCCUGCGUAUGACCCAACAGUGCCAGCCAGGCGCAUCGGUCACGGGCCAGUCAACCGCGGGAGAAGGCGCGACGGUCGAUGCGGCCAAAAAUGGGCCGGCAGUAAUGGCGGUGGCAGGCGGGCGGAAGCAGCGGUCACGUCGUCAGCCAAGCUCACGUCCCCUCAUGGGACAGCGAGAGAACCCUCUCCCGCGGCGUGAAGACGGCACGCCCGUGUUCCGUUCCUCGAACGGCUCGCGCACGCGCAACGGCUACCCCGUGAACCACUCGCCCCGUCGCAUUAACUCCGCGGCGGGACAGGCGGCACCUUUGGCAGGAGAAGCGGGCGACGCUUCGCCAUCGCCAUAACGACCGCGUCAAAAAAGGUGCGCCACGUCAUUCAAUUCCGUAUCCUUUUCCUCUUCCUCUUUCUCUCUCUUAUAACAGGGACCGGGAAAGGGGAUACCCGAAAGGGAUCCUUCUCCGUGAAAGAAACAGGCCCCGAGCCCCCCUACUGAUCAGAGGUUCGAAGGCUAGCCCCUCGGAGGGGUUCAACAGCUGCCUCAGAGCGCUCAGGCUCCGCGCCCACUACUGGUCAGAGGUUCGAGGGCCGGCCCCUCGGAAGGGUUCAACGGCCGCCUCAGGCCACUCGGGCUCCGCGCCCACUACUGAUCAGGGGUUCGUAGGCUGGCCCUCGAAGGGUUCACAGCUGCCUCAGACGCAGAGCGAGGGAUGACCCUGGGUACGUUUGAUACAUAACCAAGGCUCGGGCUACGCUCCCGAGGUACCCUAGGACAUUUCCGAGACCAGCGGGAACGAUCUUGUAACGGAAUCCCAUCAGAAGGAGGCAUCGAGCCCUUGGACCCCGUCAAAAGGGGACCGGGUCCGGCAGAUCACCCGCAUGUACUUUUGGAGCGCGCCUCUGGGCCUCUAGCCGACCCCUAACAAAUGGGGCACGGGCGUCCACUCGGAUUACCCGUCAGCAGCUCACUGGAGACACCAUGUUCGGCACCCUCCAAGGGCAACAUGGCGCUUUUCCCCCCCUCCUCCUUGCGGAAAGGCGACGCAGAGGCGUAUGUAAAAAAGUCGAGUCUGUCCUUGACCGUCCUCUCGCCCUGUGCGGAGGCUCGGGGGCUGCUCUCGCAAACCCGGCUCCGGCCAAACAAUUGACAGCGUCAACAUACCAGCCCGAGAACUUGGGACCCGACCGUGCACCCGGGCUACGGCCAGCUCGCAUGAGGGAACAACCAGACCGGCCGAAGCAUCGCGAAACGCAUUAAGACCUCGAAGGAGUCAAACUACUCCUCCGAGGCCUCAGGGGCUGUGACGGAACCUCCCAAGUAAUUAGGCCCACCGACAGUUGUCCUUGUCCAACGGACUUCAGACAACCCUGUAGGUGCCCCUGAACUACUUGACAAGUUCGGUAUCUUCUUUCUUACCUUUCCAGGAACGUUUCACCCGUCUUGCAGACAUUACAGAACAUCGGAGAUAAAGAAAUGCGGAAGCGAUUACAUAACUUACAUUUAUUUAAAAAGUAAGAUCAAGUUGUUUAUUACAGACCAGAAAUAUAAACGAGUGCAGAGUAGUAUUAUUACAUAACUAAGGGAGGCAAAAACUCCUCCCGAUAAGUUUUUCAUAAAAGUUUUCUUAUGGAGGACCAUGUCCUCCCGCAUCUUCACUCUUGUUUCUCCUCCUCAGCAACCACCUUGGUACAGAAGCAAUAGAAAUCUGCUACUUCCUCACCUAAAAACAACGAAGGGAUAAACCCUGAGUAUGGAAUUACUCAGCAAGUCUUACCCGACUAAGGAAAAGACUCUCAAGGGUAUGCUGGCUUAAGGGAGUCAAGGUAAGGCUUUUCAAUAAUCAAAGACUCUGUUUUGCAGAAAUGCUUACUAAAGUGGAUCCUUAAAAAUCCAAUUUUAUUCGUCAAGUUAAGUACAAUUACCUGCAACUAGAGCUCUUUCUACCCUAGUUCAAUCACUGGUCCUGCACUAGCCAAUUUCUUAACAAAAACCCAUCAUCUUUAGUGGAUUGCUACAUGUAAGUCAAUGACCAAGUCUUCAUAACCGCGAAGGUACGACGAUCCGAAUCGAUUAUACUCAGCUGAGGAUCUCCAAUCACACGACAUAUGUAGCACUUAACCCUUGCAUAUGUCAACCCGCCACUGGGGUUCUUAAGACCAGAUCAGGUUCACGCAAACCGAGAGCAAAGAUACACCACCGUCCAGCCUCUUGCCACGGAGGGUACACGCUACUCUCGCCACCGCUCCACGCCCAUUUUGUGUUAUCUUAUUCUGGCCUUAGUCCGCCCGAGGCAAAGCUUACCCAUGACGAGGCAUGUGACCAGUUAAAGGGUCCUCGGUCAGCAGGCCUACAUCGACAAGGUCCUUAAUCGACUCAGACGGAGACACUACACCGAGACUCUCUUUCUCGUGCAAGUCACCCGCCCGGUCUCAGCUUAAUCUUUUCAACCCAAAAACUUGGUACCUAGCAGAGGUACAUCUUUUCCGAUGUUGAAUCCAUCACGGCCGUGAUGGAUUCACCAUCAAGUUUUAUUUUUGAAAACAACCCUCCCACUUUGCCAAACAUCUUUUGUAAAACAAAUCCUUUUGUUUUUCUAGAGCAAUACUAAGCAUAGUAAAACCUUUUUGUAAAAACAGGGUUUCAAGGAAGGUAAUCAAGUUCAAGGAAGGUAAUGCAAGAAUUGUUUUAUCAAUCAACUCCUAUCACCUAAUGCAGCAAGCAAGUGAGAAAGAUUUUAAAAACAUCAAGGGAGGUGGCAAAUGCACCGGGGCUUGCCUUCGUUCGUAGGUGAGUUUGGCUCGGAUCCACAAAUAUCAAAGUAGAAGCAGUUUCCUGCCUGAGAAUCCGAGGGUGGUGGUGUCUUUUCUUCAGUGACUUCCACUUCUUCACGUUCUAACAUAACCAUAUAUAUACAUAUAUAAGAAUGAAUGCCAUGUAAUGCUCAUGAGAGUGCGAAGAUAAUAAAGAUUUAUUAUCUAAGUCUUGAAUACAACUUUCCUUCACGAAACUCCAAGAACUUAGGGUUUCCAGAGUCAGUAAAGGAGUUCAUAGAGCAGGGGGGGUUUUGGGUUCUAGUUAUCAAACAUGGUCCAAAUCAAUCCAAACUCUACCCAUGGCUCCUAACUAAUGUGUAGAGCUUAUGUAAAAAGUUUGAGCAUUUUUGGGAUUAUUAUCUAUUUUCUAAAAUUCCAGAACUAUUUCUUUAAGCUAUUUUAAAUGCCCUAAAAUUCCCUGUUUAAACUAAAAAUCAUGAAACUAUUUUUAUUAAAUUCUAGGGAAAAUAAUAAGCCUAGGAAAAUUGGUUUCACAAUUUUAGGAUUUUUCUACAAUUUAUAACAAAUUUCCCAAGUUCUUCUGAAAAAGAAAAAGGAAAAGAUUCAACAAGACUGGGCCGGUUUCAGCCCAGGCGGCCCAAUCCAGAGGGAAAGCGCGCCUGCGCCCGCGCGUGCGCUGGCGACUUUGCAGAAAGGUCCUCGGCUUAACGGCUAAACAGAAAUAGGUCCAUUCAUUAUUGCACUAAGUCACUGACAGAUUGCAGAUAAGCCCUCGGUCUUCUAUUCCUUUACACGACACGUCCUCGACGGCGUUCACGCGCGGCCGAGCUCCGACGAGCUCGUAGGCCGGCCGAUUGGGGCAAUGGCUAGGGUUCCCGAGCGGCAGACAUCAAAUUGGACCUAUCCCGAGCUUUUCCCCUAACCUAAUUUCAUCUACGGCUAACUAAUGAGCUCUAGCCACGACGACCGCGGGCGGUGCUAAGGGUUGAUCGCGUUCCCGGCGAUUAAGGGGGACUUAGUUCAAUUGGGUUGGCCAGUGAGUAUCACAGGUACACGAGAGCACUCAAACGAGGGAGCAAUCGGUAUGAACUAACCUGAGCUGAGCUAGCCGCAGCGAGGUGUGUUUCACGGCGGCGGAGACCGAAAUUGGGGGAAGUUGGAAAUUGGUGAGCUCUGGAGGACGAUUGAGGGUGGGAGUGGGGGCUCUGGUUUCACGAUGAGGUAGCGCAGCUGCCCGCGCCAUCAAUUUAUAGAGGGCAUCGACGAUGGCCGGGAAUUUGGAGAAGGACGCGCGGCGGCCGGAGGGGGAGAAGAACACUGGCGCGCGUGAAUUGGUGUCCCAUGUCGUGGCAACCUCACCGGCGUUGAUUAGACAGCAGUGGGGAGUUACGGCGAUGUGGUGGAAAGGUUUAGCCACGCGGCGCAUGACCGGGAGGCAGCGGUCACCGGCGAGCCUAUCAUUCCAGCCGCAAAGCGGAAAUGGAGGCCACGGUGAGUCACCGGAGUGACCUCCAGUGCGCGGGCGGUGAAGAUCUUUUACCCCGAGAGGUUAUCCACAAGCCACGAGCGUGAAUCCGGACGGCGGCAGCACGAAUCGCGGCGAAGGUCGUCGGCGGUGAGCUGACCUGGUGUUCUGAUCCGAUCGGCUACUGUACCAUGGAAUUCCUCGUUCAGUCGCCCUGACAGAGCACUUUGGAGCACCAUUUUCUCUCAAAUUUCUAUGGCAACAUCCCCGAGUCUCUGCAUCAAAGUUGUAGUGCUACAUACCAGCUACAAAUCGACUAUAGGGAUUAAACUUAUUUGAGCACUGGAUCAAGGUUUAAUUCAACCCCCAAAGAUGGCUCUGCUACACUGAAAACCUGAACUUCAGAGUGAAACCAGCCUGACAGUCAAACUUUAGGCUAUAUUAUCUCCAAUAUUUUCUUAACAACAAUGCUCACACUCUUAAGAAAAGUUGUUCUCCUAUAAUUGGGCUACAACUUUGAUGUGGUGACCUCGGGCAAAAACCCCAUAAUUUGAAAGUUACAAGGGCUUCAAGUUGAGUCAAUCAUACUGAAAUGCAGACUUAACCAAAAAGGGUCAAGUAUGGCUCUUUUGCACUCAAGUCCAAAUCUCAAGUUUUGGAUUGCAAAUCCACCUUCUUGUGAACCAUAUGACUUAGGAUACCCUAUUAACCUGGUUUUUGCACUUUAGCCCAAAAGUGGACUAAUUUUGCACAUAGGUCCCUAGGGUUUGGUUUUAGGGUUUUCCAGGGUUCCAAUUAGGGUUUUUGGCAUCCCAGGGGUAUAAAUAUGAUUUAACUUUAUUUUUGGGAACAUUUUAUAACUAUUUCCCUAAAGCCUUUAGGUUUUCUCAAUUUGAGUUAGGUCUUACUCCUUUAAUACCUAUUUAGGGUUAAGUUCCCUAUCCAGGGUUCUAUUUGCAAAAUGCUAUAACAAUACAACUUGUUUGAAAUUUUUACCUAGUGAAUGCACUCUAGGUGUAUCAAAUAUAUGCAAUGCCAAUGCUUAUGAUGCCAUGCUCAAGUUUUAGUUACAGUAACACCAGGGGUGUUACAUCCUUCCCCCCAUAAAAGAAUCUCGUCCCGAGAUUAAAAGUCCUAGGGUGAGUAAUGGAAAAGGAAAUGUGUCACAUUUUUAUUCCCUUAUUUCUGGUAUAAGGCAGGGGUGAUGUGGGGGUCAUUUCUUUAUUACAACACUAAAUAUACUUUACAAAUUACAUGAGGCUAAAAAGCCUGGGAAAUUCUUAUCUAAAAAGUCUUGAGUUUCCCAUGUAGCCUCUUCUUCAGAAUGUUGGUUCCAUUGUAUCUUAUAGAACUUGAGAGUUUUUCUUCGGGUAACCCUGUCCUUUUGAUCCAAGACUCGAAUAGGGUGCUCAGAGUAUGUCAAGUCCGGUUCAAGGACAACAUCUGUUACUUCAAUGGUUCGAUCGGGAAUCCGAAGACACUUCUUCAAUUGUGACACAUGGAACACAUUAUGCACGGCAGACAAGGUUUCGGGUAAUUGGAGUCGAUAUGCCACUGGUCCACAUUGCUCAAGUACUAAGAAUGGACCAAUGUACCUAGGUGCAAGCUUCCCUUUAACCCCGAAACGUGAUACCCCCUUCAUUGGUGAAACCUUCAGGUAGACAUAGUCCCCUUCAUGAAAAUACAAGGGCAUUCGCCGUUUGUCUGCAUAACCCUUCUGACGAGCUUGUGCUUUCUUCAUAUUAUGAAUAAUUUUCUGAACCUUUUCCUCGGCCUCCUUCACUAUAUCAGGCCUAAAGAAAUACCUUUCUCCAGGUUCAGACCAAUUUAGCGGAGUUCGACAUCGUCGCCCAUAUAAAGCUUCAAAAGGUGUCAUCUUGAUACUUUCUUGAUAGCUAUUAUUAUAUGAAAACUCCGCCAAAGGCAAACAUUCAUCCCAUUUCGGUGAGAAGUCCAGAACACAUGCUCGCAACAUAUCUUCGAGUACUUGAUUAAUCCUCUCAGUCUGUCCACUGGUUUGUGGAUGAUAUGUCGAACUAUGGAGCAACUUAGUACCCAAGGAUUUGUGAAGUGCUUCCCAAAACUUGGCUACAAAUUGAGGUCCACGAUCCGACACUAUGGUCUUCGGAACACCAUGCAGACUAAGAAUACGAGUAAUGUACAAUUGGGCAUAGACAGUAACCGGGUGAUCUGUCUUGACCGGCAGAAAGUGAGCAAUCUUCGUAAGCCGAUCAAUUAUAACCCAGAUAGAAUCAUACCCUUUUGCAGUCCUGGGCAAUCCCACGAUAAAGUCCAUACUUAUGUCUUCCCAUUUCCAUGUCGGUAUUGGUAGUGACUGUAAUGGACCGGCAGCUUUCAAAUGUAUGGCUUUGACACGUCUGCAGGUAUCACAUCUCGCCACAUAUCGUGCAAUUUCGAUCUUCAUCUUUGUCCACCAGUAAUGUUGCUUCAAGUCUUGGUACAUCUUAGUGCUUCCAGGAUGAAUAGAGUAGCGGCUAAGAUGUGCUUCAUCAAGAAUUUGCUGGCGGAGCUCUUCAUUCUUUGGCACCACUAUGCGGUUAUUAAACCAUACAAUGUCUUGAUCAUCUUCUUUGAAACAUUUGGCUUUUCCAGCCCUUAACUUCUCACGAAUGUGUUUCAUGCCCUCAUUAUCCUUUUGAGCAUCAAUUAUCUUUUGCAAGAGAACUGACUCAAGCUUUAACUGAUUCAGAGUUCCUUGUUGGACCAUUCCCAGGUUUAGCUUCUCCAUCUCUUGACAUAAAGUGUUGUCAGAGGUCUUCACCGUAAGACAGUGACAGGAAACCUUACGGCUUAGUGCAUCUGCCACAACAUUGGCUUUGCCUGGGUGAUAAUGAAUUUCCAGUUCAUAGUCCUUAAUAAGCUCAAGCCAUCGCCUCUGCCUCAUAUUCAAUUAUGACUGGGUGAAGAUAUACUUCAAGCUUUUAUGAUAUGUAUAAAUGUGACAGAUAUUUCCCAGCAGAUAGUGACGCCAAAUUUUCAGGGCAUGAACCACAGCAGCUAGCUCCAGAUCAUGAGUUGGGUAAUGCUCCUCAUGUCGACGCAACUGCCUUGAAGCAUAUGCAAUUACUCGGCCUUCUUGCAUUAGCACGCAACCGAGUCCACUGCCUGAUGCAUCACAAUAUACAUCAAAAGGCUUGGUGAUGUCCGGUUGAGCAGUGGUUAAUAAUGUCUUCAAUUGUUCAAAGGCUUCAUCACACUUCGAAGACCAAUUGAAUUUAACAUCAUUCUUCAAUAAACUUGUGAUUGGCUUCACAAGCUUAGAAAAGUCUGGUAUAAAUCUGCGGUAAUAUCCAGCCAGUCCAAGGAAACUUCGGACCUGAUGAACAGUGGUCGGGGGUUUCCACUCCAAAAUGUCCUUGACUUUGCUGGGGUCUACCGCAAUCCCUCUGGCAGAUAGAACAUGUCCCAGAAAUUGAAUUUCCUCCAGCCAAAACGCGCAUUUGCUGAACUUGGCAUACAACUGAUGUUCUCUCAGGCGUGUUAACACGAUCCGUAAAUGUUGGGUGUGCUCCUCUUCAUUCUUGGAAUAUAUCAAAAUGUCAUCAAUGAAGACCACUACGAACUUAUCCAACUCGGGCAUGAAUACCGAGUUCAUCAAAUAUGUGAAGUGGGCCGGAGCAUUUGUUAACCCGAAAGACAUUACCAGAUAUUCAAAUAAUCCAUAUCGCGUAGUGAACGCGGUCUUUGGUAUAUCUUCGGGCCGAAUACGGAUCUGGUGAUAGCUCGAUCUGAGAUCAAUCUUUGAAAAUACCCUUGCUCCAAUCAAUUGAUCAAAUAGAAUGUCAAUCCUUGGAAGAGGGUACUUGUUUUUGAUGGUGACCUCAUUCAGGGGUCGAUAAUCCACACACAUCCGUAAAGUUUGAUCCUUCUUUUUGACGAAUAUGGCUGGACAACCCCAAGGUGACGAGCUUGGCCGGAUGAACCCUUUCUCUAGGAGGUCUUGUAAUUGAAUCUUCAAUUCUGCCAACUCAUUAGGAGGCAUCCGGUACGAUCUUCUAGAUAUUGGAGUCGUAUCGGGCUUCAACUCUAUUACAAACUCUACCUCCCGCUCAGGUGGCAAUCCCGGCAGAUCCUCGGGAAAGACAUCGGGAAACUCGCAUACCACCGGGAUAUCCUUGAUUUCCGGUACCAUGACUUCAUAAACUCUGCCAGUAGUUUUGUUUGGAAUGGGGAUGGGCAAAAGAAUUUCUUCUUGAUUAUGACUCAACCUGAUGGUUCUUUGAUCAGUAUUGAGUGUUGCUUUAUGCUUGGCCAACCAAUUCAUACCCAAAAUAACAUCUAUGUCUUGGCCUUUCAGGACGAUCAUAUUGGUAGGAAAGUCCUGUCUGGCCAAUGAUACGGGCACUUGAUAGGCCACUUCUUUAGUAAAGAUUUGUCCCCCAGGUGAGUGUAUUUUAAAUCCCUCUUUUGAUUCAUGGCAUGCAAUGUGAUGUUGCUCCACAAAUUUCUUGCUAAUGAACGUAUGCGAAGCACCAGAAUCAAAAAGAAUGACUGCAGGGUGAUUGGCCACGAGGAACAUACCCAUCAUUACCGGCUCUCCGUCCGGUGUAGUGGCCACUUGUGUAUAGUAUACGCGUCCCGUCUUCUUGAAAUUUUUGCCCUUAACAUUUCCCUUGCCUUGAGUUGAAUUCCCCGAUCCUUGCUGGUUAUUCGACUGAUUCUGCUUGGGAUAGGGGCAAUCUUUGAUGAAAUGCCCAGACUUGCCACAAUUGAAACAUCCGGUUGAAGAGCUGGGCAAAGCGGGGAAUCGAGUGCCUGGGGCACCCGGCUGACUUGGGGGCAGUGGGGGCAUUAUUGGGACGAAUAAUUAUUGGCUGCUUGAAAGGGAAGGAUGGUGCACGUGGAUGAGUCUGGUUAGAAGGCCGGAGAAUAAACCGUUGCCUCUUUACCGGGCCCUGACUAGGCCUGUUUUCUCCACCCCCCUUGAUCUUUCCAGAACUUGCAUAUUUCGCUUCUACUGCCAGUGUUGUACUGACGGCUCUUCCAUAAGUCAAGUCAAUGCAAGUAGCCAUUUUUCUCUGUAGUCGAUCAUUUAAUCCUCUCAUAAAGCAAUUUUUCUUCUUCAGAUCAGUGUUCACCUGAUCGAUUGCAUAUUGUGAUAGAUGAUUGAACUUAUUGAGAUACUGGUUAACAGUAUCCCCUCCUUGUUUCAGCUUCAUGAAUUCUUCUUGCUUCAUAUGUAGAACACCUUCGGGUAUAUAAUGCUCGCGGAAGGCCACUUUGAAUUCUUCCCAGGUUAUUUGAUGAUUGGCCGGUUGAACGGCCACAAAAUUACCCCACCAAGUACUGGCAGGUCCGCGCAUUUGCUGGGCUGCGAAUAAAGGCUUAUGAAUUUCUGAACAGCGCAGCAGUCCGAAUUUUUGUUCAAUCACUCGAAGCCAUUCAUCGGCUUCCAAUGGAUCGUCAGCUUUAACAAACAAGGGCGGACGUGUCUCCGAAAAGUCUAGAUAAGAAGUUUCGCGGGGGCCCUGUUGAUAGCCCCGCCCACCCUGCUGCUGGAACUGUUGGCCCGCCAUUUCUCUCAGAAAGCGGGUAUUAUCAGCAGUUGCGUUCACUAAGGCGGCAAUUGCCUCAGCCAGUGUGGGAGGAACAGGAGGUGGAUUUGGUGUAGAUUCCCUCCCCCGGGAGGUACCAGCUCCGUCCUGAGCUCGAGUCUUGGAAGGCAUCUGUGGCAACAACAUUUGAAAACAAUAUGAUAUGCCAAAGAAAAAGCCAUCCCUUUUACAUUACCAAAAGUAAUGUUACAGACUCAAGACUCUUACAACAGGGUACAAUACCUAGUAUACAAUAGCACUACCUAUUAUACACUAGUACAACCUACAAUACGCUACACUACUUCUACUAUACCACUAGUCCUGCUUCCCAUUGCUUUUGGCGGCCUCGUCGUCGGGUGUGGGAGACCAUUCGUCAACCAGCCUCAUGGAAGGAGGGGGCUGAAAAAGGUCUAACUCACCACCAAGCGCGUGUCCUGCAACAUGCGAGGGUCCGGCUUCCGAUUCAACAGGGUGCGCAGGUGCACUAGGGUGUAAUUGCGAAUACAGUACAUGGACUUCCUCAUGUAAAGUAUUGCAAUAGACCUGCAGGUUGUCGACAGCUGAGCUAAGUUCCUUGACUCGGGCUUGAGCCCUUGCCUCCUUAGCACAAGCCAGCAAACGGGACUGAACUGCCCAGUCGAGCGCCAAGUCCCGAUCAACAAGCUGAUCCCGCAGGUGGAGGAUGUCCCUUCUUAAUUCAUUUAUUCUAUCUCCAUCCGCAACCCAUAUGUUGGUCCUGUGUUGCAAUUCCGCUUGAAGUUGAUUUACUCGUGCUUCAAGAUCCCCUAUUGGAUCAUUGCUCCCGCUGCUAUUAUCCUCAUGUCGAGGGGCAAGUUGAUGUCGGGGCACACCGAUUGGGCCAGUUGACUUGCGCGCCGUUUUCCUUGUGCGCGGCGGCAUCUUCUAAGGGGGAAAAUUUUAUUAGUAUAAUUCUUAGCAAGAUGCAUGUGUAAGUACAGAAUCAACCUUAGUUGAUUCAACCUUCUAUACAUUGCACUCUUCCUAUCUGGUCUUUAAGAUAAACUCUUCAGAAUACUUAGGUAAGAAAGGAAGAGAGUUUCUAGGUAAGACUUUUAGAAAAUCCUUUUGAAGAUGCCUCAUAAUAUCUGCAAAGAAGGGCUACGCACCGAUACCAGCUGUGACGGAACCUCCCAAGUAAUUAGGCCCACCUACAGUUGUCCUUGUCCAACGGACUUCAGACAACCCUGUAGGUGCCCCUGAACUACUUGACAAGUUCGGUAUCUUCUUUCUUACCUUUCCAGGAACGUUUCACCUGUCUUGCAGACAUUACAGAACAUCGGAGAUAAAGAAAUGCGGAAGCGAUUACAUAACUUACAUUUAUUUAAAAAGUAAGAUCGAGUUGUUUAUUACAGACCAGAAAUAUAAACGAGUGCAGAGUAGUAUUAUUACAUAACUAAGGGAGGCAAAAACUCCUCCCGAUAAGUUUUUUAUAAAAGUUUUCUUAUGGAGGACCAUGUCCUCCCGCAUCUUCACUCUUGUUUCUCCUCCUUAGGAACCACCUUGGUACAGAAGCAACAGAAAUCUGCUACUUCCUCACCUAAAAACAACGAAGGGAUAAACCCUGAGUAUGGAAUUACUCAGCAAGUCUUACCCGACUAAGGAAAAGACUCUCAAGGGUAUGCUGGCUUAAGGGAGUCAAGGUAAGGCUUUUCAAUAAUCAAAGACUCUGUUUUGCAGAAAUGCUUACUAAAGUGGAUCCUUAAAAAUCCAAUUUUAUUUGUCAAGUUAAGUACAAUUACCUGCAACUAGAGCUCUUUCUACCCUAGUUCAAUCACUGGUCCUGCACUAGCCAAUUUCUUAACAAAAACCCAUCAUCUUUAGUGGAUUGCUAUGUGUAAGUCAGUGACCAAGUCUUCAUAACCGCGAAGGUACGGCGAUCCGAAUCGAUUAUACUCAGCUGAGGAUCUCCAAUCACACGACAUAUGUAGCACUUAACCCUUGCAUAUGUCAACCCGCCACCGGCGUUCUUAAGACCAGAUCAGGUUCACGCAAACCGAGAGCACAGAUACACCACCGUCCAGCCUCUUGCCAUGGAGGGUACACGCUACUCUCGCCACCGCUCCACGCCCAUUUCGUGUUAUCUUAUUCUGGCCUUAGUCCGCCCGAGGCAAAGCUUACCCAUGACGAGGCAUGUGACCAGUUAAAGGGUCCUCGGUCAGCAGGCCUACAUCGACAAGGUCCUUAAUCGACUCAGACGGAGACACUACACCGAGACUCUCUUUCUCGUGCAAGUCACCCGCCCGGUCUCAGCUUAAUCUUUUCAACCCAAAAACUUGGUACCUGGCAGAGGUACAUCUUUUCCGAUGUUGAAUCCAUCACGGCCGUGAUGGAUUCACCAUCAAGUUUUAUUUUUGAAAACAACCCUCCCACUUUGCCAAACAUCUUUUGUAAAACAAAUCCUUUUGUUUUUCUAGAGCAAUACUAAGCAUAGUAAAACCUUUUUGUAAAAACAGGGUUUCAAGGAAGGUAAUCAAGUUCAAGGAAGGUAAUGCAAGAAUUGUUUUAUCAAUCAACUCCUAUCACCUAAUGCAGCAAGCAAGUGAGAAAGAUUUUAAAAACAUCAAGGGAGGUGGCAAAUGCACCGGGGCUUGCCUUCGUUCGUAGGUGAGUCUGGCUCGGAUCCACAAAUAUCAAAGUAGAAGCAGUUUCCUGCCUGAGAAUCCGAGGGUGGUGGUGUCUUUUCUUCAGUGACUUCCACUUCUUCUUCAGGUUCUAACAUAACCAUAUAUAUACAUAUAUAAGAAUGAAUGCCAUGUAAUGCUCAUGAGAGUGCGAAGAUAAUAAAGAUUUAUUAUCUAAGUCUUGAAUACAACUUUCCUUCAUGGAACUCCGAGAACUUAGGGUUUCCGGAGUCAGUAAAGGAGUUCAUAGAGCAGGGGGGGUUUUGGGUUCUAGUUAUCAAACAUGAUCCAAAUCAAUCCAAACUCUAUCCAUGGCUCCUAACUAAUGUGUAGAGCUUAUGUAAAAAGUUUGAGCAUUUUUGGGAUUAUUAUCUAUUUUCUAAAAUUCUAGAACUAUUUCUUUAAGCUAUUUUAAAUGCCCUAAAAUUCCCUGUUUAAACUAAAAAUCAUGAAACUAUUUUUAUUAAAUUCUAGGGAAAAUAAUAAGCCUAGGAAAAUUGGUUUCACAAUUUUAGGAUUUUUCUACAAUUUAUAACAAAUUUCCCAAGUUCUUCUGAAAAAGAAAAAGGAAAAGAUUCAAUAGGACUGGGCCGGUUUCAGCCCAGGCGGCCCAAUCUAGAGGGAAAGCGCGCUCGCGCCCGCGCGCGCGCUGGCGACUUUGCAGAAAGGUCCUCGGCUUAACGGCUAAACAGAAAUAGGUCCAUUCAUUAUUGCACUAAGUCACUGACAGAUUGCAGAUAAGCCCUGGUCUUCUAUUCCUUUACACGACACGUCCUCGACGGCGUUCACGCGCGGCCGAGCUCCGACGAGCUCGUAGGUCGGCUGAAUGGGGCAACGGCUAGGGUUCUCGAGCGGCGGACAUCAAAUUGGACCUAUCCCGAGCUUUUUGUAAAGCCCAAAAUUUGUAUCACAGAACAAUAAUGAUAUAUAUAUAUAUAUAUAUAUAUAUAUAUAUAUUAAUGUGUUAGUAUUUUGGAGAUUUUUUUUGGAACCCUUCGGGAUUAAUUGAUUUCUUCCCUCUUUGCAUAUUCAAUUAAUGGAAUUAAGGUAGUCAAAUAACAAAUAAAUAAAUACAAAAAAUAUGCAUCUCAUGCUGAAGUUAUUGUAUUUUUGAACUUUGUAUUCAAAUUUGUGAGACAAGUUUGAGUUAGAAAACUAGAAUUUGAAAAUGGGAAUAGAAAAGAAAAGAGAAGAAAAAGGAAAAUAAUAUGUGCUAUAAGGAAAAAUAAUAAUAAUGAUAUAUAAAUAAAUAUGUCUUCUCAUACUGGUAUUUUAAUUGUGCACUUGAUCUAUGUGUAAAACUCACUAACAAAUUCAAAUUCAAGUGGUAAAUUUAGAAAGGGAGAAAGAAAAUGCAAAACAUAAAAGAAAAAGGAGAAAACAACUUUCUGGGCUGAAUUACGCUGGCCGGCCCACUUGUGCUUCCCGUCCACUCCUGUGUGACCCAACCCAAUGCACCCACGCGCCGACACGCUGGUCCCACGGGACAGCCUCACGCCAGCGUGCCUGUGGCUUUGCUGUCUCCGCCAGGUGGGGCCCCUCUGUCAGAUUCACCUUGCUCCACCAGACAAUCUGAGUCCGCACGAAUCUGUUGCAUGUGUGCGGGUCGCUGUCCGGGUUGUUGGGAUACUCCGCCUCCUCCGAUGGACUCCUGGGUAUAUAUGCUCCUGCCCCGGGGUCAUCUCGCCCUUCACCAGUAGCCACACCAAGCCAUAUCCGAAGCCCUCGUAGCUAACUCAUCGUAAUUGCCGUAAGAACAGAGAAGAGGAAGGUAUGGGAGAUGGACCCUGGAGAACCAUACCGGCGGCGCAAGAAGCAGGUCGGGCGCGGGGUAGAAGCUUCCCGGUGCUGCGGGGUUCAUGCGGGUCGACUGGGAUGGAUGAAUUCCUCGCCGGUGGGGACGAAGCGCUGCUGUCCGCCGUGGAACCGCGUGACACCAUGGCCGGGACCUCACGGUCGCGUUGGGCGCCCACACUGGGACCCUAGCGCCCUGGCACUUCUACCUCUACGCCUCUGUCUACCGCUCACGCUUCAUCCGAUCGUCGGUCGCGCAUGGUCUGGCUGCGCCAGGGCAGUGCCCAGGUGGCCGCUGAGUGCUUCACGGUGGGACUUCAACGUUGAACCGCUGCAAGCUGGGAAUCUCCGUCCCUAUGGUGAGUACCCCCCCCUACCGCUACUAUGUCGCGUUCUCUGUUCCAAGAUCGGGAUUGAUGCCCUGUUGCACGCCGGCGUGGCGUUCUGGCUGGGCUGACAGGCGAGGAGAUAGGGUAGGAAGCGAGAGGUUGAAGAUGGGCUGGUAGCCGUUGGAUAGGGGGGGGGAACGAAUAGGAUUAAAUCUGGCAAAGUGUUGGCCCCCGACCGUCGAUCAUACGGUGGAUGGCGUAGAUUUGAUCGAGCCCCUUUAAAAUCAGAACCGUCGCUUUCGGAUCUGAUGGCCACCAUUUCCUACCGAUUCAUUUAUAGGCGCGAUAUAAUCUGGUCCGCAGGGAUUGGAUCGGACGGCUCAUAUAAACUCGUACCCCUUCGCCGCGCCUCUUUUGUUUAAGAGCCCCUGGACUUUUAGUGAAUGAACCCGCGGUCCAUCGUGGCUGUCCUCUGAGUCUUAGGGAUUUUACCCCGUGGCCCCCUGCUGUUAUCAGAUAUUGUGGCCCAGUCCAGAGAUCGUUUAAAUUGAAUAAAUGAAAUAGAAAAUAGAUUUUUAAUAGGAAAAUAAUUGCUAGAACUUCAAUAAUUCAUAGUAAAUUCAUUUUAACUCCAAAUUGAGUCAUUCCAGUUGCAAUAAUUUUGUAUUAACAUUUUUUAUCACCUAGUACCUUUGUUUAACCAUGAAACUUGAAUUAAAAUUAUUCAUAAGGAUUAAUCUAUUCUAAGCACUAAAUAAUUUCGGAAAUUCAUAACUUAAUAACCGUAACUCCGAAUUUAGCGGUUCUCGAACCCACGAUCUCGUAGUGACGCAUAGAUUACUAUUAUGUAGUGUGUUCUUAUGUCUGAAGUGAUGUUAAUUUUGCCUAUACCAUGUUUCGUUUGUAUUGCUACGACUAGCUGUGAGGACACGUGUCACUUGAAGAUCAUCCUGGUACCUGGAAUCUCAAGUCCCAGGCAAGUUGUGCCCUUGAUCACUUCUUUUUACCCAGCCAUGUUCUGAUUAAUCAUAAUGAUCUGCAUAGGUUAAUUUUGAUGGGACCCAAUAGGUUACCCUAAUUUGAUUAUCUUUAUACCUUGUUACCACUGAACUUUUUGGGUAGUACUUGCUAGUGCUUUAUGUGGUUUUGGGUAUGAAGAUACAUUACUCAUGAUUAUACUUUUGUUAUCCGUUGUUAUUUAUCGUUCAUGAUAAGAUCAUUAUGUUAAUUGGAACAUGGAGCGACCACCCGGGAAAACAGUGCUACCACAAGGGUAUAAUGGGACGCCCUUGGCUGAUUAAUUAGGAAAGCUAGUGGAGGACUACCUUACCCAAAAGGGGCAAGGGCAGUAGGGGAGUGGUCAGUGUAGGGAGGCCCUCGGGAUGAUUUUGCUGCGAUGGCGGUCAUGCAAGGGAUUCCUGCAUUGGAGCUUCCUAUAAACUGUAGCGGGUUUUCUGAAGCUAGUGGAACUUUGUAAAGGCCUCGUAGUGUUACCCUGCCUCGCCUCCUCGGUAGAGGUGUAUGGGAAGUCGCGAUCCCUUGGCAGAUGGGUAACAUGACUUGUGGGUAAAGAUGUGCCACCUCUGCAGAGUGUAAAACUGGUAUACUAGCCGUGCUCACGGUCAUGAGCAGCUCGGACCCUCACAUGAUUAAAUUAUGGAACUUAAACUCAAUUCGUCAUAUGCAUUGCAUCGCAGGUGAGGUUGUUACUUUUGUUCUACUAAAUUGGGCUGGUAUUUACUUAUACUUAGUAAUUGCUAAUAAAAUUUUGACCAACUUUAAAAAGCAAUGCUCAGCUCUAACCAUCCUCUUUGGUAAGCCUUACGCUUCACGUGAGCUCCCACCUUUGGCGAGUUCAUGCACAUUAUUCCCCACAACUUGUUGAGCGAUGAACGUAUGUGAGCUCACUCUUGCUGUCUCACACCCCCCACAGGUCAAGAACAGGUACCACAGGAUGAGGCGCAUGGAGGAUGCUGCGAUGAGUUCGUGAGAGAGAUCUAGGUCGUCGUCUCCCAGUCAACUUUGGGUUGCUGGAUCGUUUCCUCAUAUGAUGUAAUUAUUUAAUUAUUUUUGUACAGAACUCCUGUUAUAUAGUAAAGAUGUGACAUUCGAUCCUGUGCCACUAUGCAUCAUAUGUGUGAGACUUGGUCCCAGCACACCUGGUGUUUAUGUUCGCGCCCGGGUUUUGGACCCCUAAAAUCCGGGUGUGACACUUUUCCCCUAACCUAAUUUCAUCUAUGGCUAACUAAUGAGCUCUGGCCACGACGACCGCGGGCGGUGCUAAGGGUUGAUCGCAUUCCCGACGAUUAAGGGGGACUUAGUUCAAUUGGGUUGGCCGGUGAGUAUCAUAGGUACACGAGAGCACUCAAACGAGGGAGCAAUCGGUAUGAACUAACCUGAGCUGAGCUAGCCGCAGCGAGGUGUGUUUCACGGCGGCGGAGACCGAAAUUGGGGGAAGUUGGAAAUUGGUGAGCUCUGGAGGACGAUUGAGGGUGGGAGUGGGGGCUCUGGUUUCACGAUGAGGUAGCGCAACUGCCCACGCCAUCAAUUUAUAGAGGGCAUCGACGGUGGCCGGGAAUUUGGAGAAGGACGCGCGGCGGCCGGAGGGGGAGAAGAACACUGGCGCGCGUGAAUUGGUGUCCCAUGCCGUGGCAACCUCACCGGCGUUGAUUAGACAGCAGUGGGGAGUUACGGCGACGCGGUGGAAAGGUUGAGCCAUGCGGCGCACGGCCGGGAGGCGGUGGUCACCGGCGAGCCUAUCGUUCCAGCCGCAAAGCGGAAAGGGAGGCCACGGUGAGUCACCGGAGUGACCUCCAGCGCGCGGGCGGUGAAGAUCUUUUACCCCGAGAGGUUAUCCACAAGCCACGAGCGCGAAUCUGGAUGGCGGCAGCACGAAUCGCGGCGAAGGUCGUCGGCGAUGAGCUGAGCUGGUGUUCUGAUCCGAUCGGCUACUGUACCAUGGAAUUCCUCGUUCAGUGGCCCUGACAGAGCACUUUGGAGCACCAUUUUCUCUCAAAUUUCUAUGGCAACAUCCCCGAGUCUCUGCAUCAAAGUUGUAGUGCUACAUACCAGCUACAAAUCGACUAUAGGGAUUAAACUUAUUUGAGCACUGGAUCAAGGUUUAAUUCAACCCCAAAGAUGGCUCUGCUACACUGAAAACCUGAACUUCAGAGUGAAACCAGCCUGACAGUCAAACUUUAGGCUAUAUUAUCUCCAAUAUUUUCUUAACAACAAUGCUCACACUCUUAAGCAAAGUUGUUCUCCUAUAAUUGGGCUACAACUUUGAUGUGGUGACCUAGGGCAAAAACCCCAUAAUUUGAAAGUUACAAGGGCUUCAAGUUGAGUCAAUCAUACUGAAAUGCAGACUUAACCAAAAAGGGUCAAGUAUGGCUAUUUUGCACUUAAGUCCAAAUCUCAAGUUUUGGAUUGCAAAUCCACCUUCUUGUGAACCAUAUGACUUAGGAUACCCUAUUAACCUGGUUUUUGCACUUUAGCCCAAAAGUGGACUAAUUUUGCACAUAGGUCCCUAGGGUUUGGUUUUAGGGUUUUCUAGGGUUCCAAUUAGGGUUUUUGGCAUCCCAGGGGUAUAAAUAUGAUUUAACUUUAUUUUUGGGAACAUUUUAUAACUAUUUCCCUAAAGCCUUUAGGUUUUCUCAAUUUGAGUUAGGUCUUAUCCCUUUAAUCCCUAUUUAGGGUUAAGUUCCCUAUCCAGGGUUCUAUUUGCAAAAUGCUAUAACAAUACAACUUGUUUGAAAUUUUUACCUAGUGAAUGCACUCUAGGUGUAUCAAAUAUAUGCAAUGCCAAUGCUUAUGAUGCCAUGCUCAAGUUUUAGUUACAGUAACACCAGGGGUGUUACAGGGGCUACACCCGGCGGGUGCGCUCGCGCGCACCCACCGGAACAAAAUGCAACCGAGAAAGGCCGGUCCCCUUGCAAAAAAGUGCGACAAAAGCCUCCAAGCAAGUAUUAACACUCCCUUCGAGGCUUGGGGGCUACUGUCGGGGACCAUAAUUAGGGGUACCCCCAAGACUCCUAAUCUCAGCUGGUAACCCCCAUCAGCACAAAGCUGCAAAGGCCUGAUGGGUGCGAUUAAGUCAAGGCUCGGUCCACUCAAGGGACACGAUCUCACCUCGCCCGAGCCCAGCCUCGAGCAAGGGCAGCCGACCCCGGAGGAUUUACGUCUCGCCCAAGGACCCCCUCCAGCGGCGGACACACCUUCGGCUCGCCCGAGGCCCAGUCUUCGCCAAGAAGCAACCUUGGCCAAGUCGCCACGCCAACCGACCGUAUCGCAGGAGCAUUUAAUGCAAAGGUGGCCUGACACCUUAUCCUGACGCGCGCCCUUCAGUCGACAGAGCCGAAGUGACCGCAAUCACUUCGCCGCUCCACUGACCGGCCUGACAAGAGGACAGCACCGUCUGCGCCGCUCCGACUGCUGUGCCACUCGACAGAGUGAGGCUGACAGCAGCCAAGUCCGGCCUCGGGCGCCAUAGGAAACUCCGCCUCGCCCGACCCAGGGCUCGGACUCGAGCUCGGCCCCGGAAGACGACGAACUCCGCUUCGCCCGACCCCAGGGCUCGGACUCGGGCUCGGCCCCGGAAGACGACGAACUCCGCUUCGCCCGACCCCAGGGCUCGGACUCGGGCUUGGCCCCAGAAGACGACGAACUCCGCUUCGCCCGACCCCAGGGCUCGGACUCGGGCUCGGCCCCGGAAGACGACGAACUCCGCUUCGCCCGACCCCAGGGCUCGGACUCGGGCUCGGCCCCGGAAGACGACGAACUCUGCUUCGCCCGACCCUAGGGCUCGGACUCGGGCUCGGUCCCGGAAGACGACGAACUCCGCCUCGCCCGACCCAGGGCUCGGACUCGGGCUCGGCCCCGGAAGACGACGAACUCCGCAUCGCCCGACCCCAGGGCUCGGACUCGGGCUCAGCCCCGGAAGACGACGAACUCCGCAUCACCUGACCCCAGGGCUCGGACUCAACCCUGGCCUCAGCUGACGGUCUCCGCCUCGCCCGACCCAGGGGCUCGGACUCGACCUUGGCCUCGGAAGACAGACUCGACCUCAACCUCGAAGGAGCCUCCACCUCGCCCAACCCAGGGCUCGGACCGACCACGUCACCGGAGGCACCAUCAUUACCCUACCCCAAGCUAACUCAGGCUACGGGGAACAAGACCGGUGUCCCAUCCGGCUCGCCCCAGUAAACAAGUAAUGAUGGCGCCCUGCAUGCUCUAUGACGAUGGCGGCUCUCAGCCCCCUUACGGAAGCAAGGAGACGUCAGCAAGGACUCGACAGCCCCGACAGCUGUCCUUCCGCCAGGCUCUAGCGCUCCUCCGAUGGCCACGAUACCACACGAACCGGGUGCCAAAACCUCUCCGGCUGCCACGAUGGCAUGUACUUAGGGCACUAGCUCUUCUCCGCUAGACACGUUAGCACACUGCUACACCCCCCAUUGUACACCUGGAUCCUCUCCUUACGCCUAUAAAAGGAAGGUCCAGGGCCCUCUUACAAAGGGUUGGUCGCGCGGGGAAGAACGGGACGGCGCUCGCGUAAGGCCGCUCGCUCCCUCCCACGUGGACGCUUGUAACCCCCUACUGCAAGCGCACCCGACCUGGGCGCGGGACAAACACGAAGGCCGUGGGAUUCCCCUUUUACGCCUGUCUCCCUCUGGCUUCUUCCCCCCUUCGCGCUCCGUCUCGCGCCGACCCAUCUGGGCUGGGGCACGCGGCGACAAUUUACUCGUUGGUCUAGGGACCCCCCGGGUUCGAAACACCGACAAAACUAGUCUUUGUCAAUUGUUUUAGUAAAGAGUGUAGGAUCAGCUUUUGCGACUUUGAAACCAUUAGAAAUGAGAAAGUCUCUCAGGUAUUCAUACCAUGCUCUUAGGGCUUGCUUAAGCCCAUAAAGCACCUUCGAGAGCUUAUAAACAUGUGAAGGAUACUCACAGUCUUCAAAGCCGGGAGGUUGCUCAACAUACACCUCUUCCUUGAUAGGACCAUUGAGGAAGGCACUUUUCACAUCCAUUUGAUAUAGCUUGAAGCCAUGGUAAGUAGCAUGGGCGAGUAAUAUGCGAUUUGACUCAAGUCUAGCUACGGGUGAUCUCUCUGUAUUGCUUGAUGGACACUUGGGUGUGGUGGUCCUGAAUCUUGAAUCUCCUGCUCAUCCUCCUUUUCUUGUUCAACUUCAUCUCCCACUUGACCAAUGUCAUCAUCUUGAGUUGGCUCAUUUUCUUGAACUUGAUCUUCAACUUCUUGAGCUUGUUCCUCAUCUUGUGUUGGUGAGGAGACUUGCAUGGAGGAGGAAGGUUGAUCUUGUGUUGGUGUAGGCUCCUCAGGCACUUGUGGGCUCACAUCUCCAAUGGACAUUUUCCUUAGUGUGAUGCAUGGGGCAUCGUCAUCAUCUAACUCAUCAAGAUCAACUUGCUCUAUUUGAGAGCCAUUAGUCUCAUAAAAUACAACAUCUCAAGAAACUUCAACUAAUCUAGUGGACUUGUUGAAGACUCUAUAUGUUCUUGUGUUUGAGUCAUACCAAGUAAAAAACCUUCUACUGAUUUAUGAGAGAAUUAGGAGUUUCUACCUCUCUUUACCAAAAUAAAGCAUUUGCUCCCAAAUACACGAAAAUAAGAAACAUUGGCCUUUUCACCAGUGAGGAGUUCAUAUGAUGUUUUCUUGAGGAUUCUGUGAAGUUAGAGCUGGUUGAUGGAGUAGCAGGCGGUGUUAAUCCGCCCAAAACUGACUUGAUGUCUUGUAUUCUUCAAACAUGGUUCUUGAAAUAUUCAUUAGAGUUUUAUUCUUUUUAUCCACAAUGCCAUUUUGCUAAGGUGUGUAGGGAGAAGAGAACUCAUGCUUGAUGCCCUCCUCCUCAAGAAAACCUUCAAUGUAAGAGUUCUUGAACUCCAUUCCAUUGUAGCUUCUAAUCUUUUUUAUUCUCAAUCAGAAAUCAUUUUGAGCUUGUCUCAAGAAUUUCUUUAAGGUCUCUUGGGUCUUUGAUUUUUCCUGCGAAAAGAACACCCAAGUGAAGCAAGAAUAGUGAUCCAAAACAAGAAGAAAAUACUUACACCUGUCGAUGCUUAUGAAAGCGAUUGAGCCAAAUAGAUCCAUGUGGAGUAACUCAAGUGGCCUUUCAAUCAUCAUGAUGUUCUUGUGUGUAUGAUGAACUCCACCAACUUCCCUGCUUGACAUGCGCUACAAUCACUGUCUUUUCUUAAAAUGAACAUUGGUUAGUCCUAAAACGUGGUCCCCUUUAAAAGCUUGUGGAGAUUCUUCACCCCAACGUGGGCAACUCGGCGAUGCCAGAGCUAACCCAUAUUAGUCUUAGCAAUCAGGCAAGUGUCUAGUUCGGCUUUGUCAUCGGUAAAAUCAACUAAAUAUAGUUGUACUUGUAACACUCCCAUAAAAGCUAGUGAAUCAUCACUUCUAAAGGUUGUAACAUCAACAUCAGUGAUAAACAAUUGUAGCCCAUUUUGCAUAAUUGGGAUACAGAAAGAAUAUUGUAACCUAAAGAUUCUACAAGGAAAACAUUAGAAAUAGAAUGGUCAGGAGAUAUAUCAAUUUUACCCAAACCUUUGACCAUACUUUGAUUUCCAUCCCCGAAUGUGAUUGUCUUUUAGGAGUCAUCAUUUUUCUCAUAUGAGGAGAACAUUUUCUUCUCCCCUGUCAUAUGGUUCGUGCACCCACUUUCGAUUAUCCAGCUCGUCCCUCAGGAUGUGUAAACCUACAACACAUAUUUAAGUCUUGUCCUUAGGUACCCAAACAGUCUUGGGUCCUUUUACAUUAGAAACAAACACCUUGGGUACCCAGACACAAGUCUUUGGACACUUGUGCCUGCACCCAACAUAUUUGGCAACAACUCUGCCAUAUUUGCUAGUAAGCGCAUAAGAUGCAUCCAAGGUCUUAAAAGACAACUUAGGCUCAUGAGAUGCAUCAACAAUUUUCUUCUUAGGCAUUUUAGUGGAUUUAGUAUGAGAAAUAUAAUGACUAGAACUAGAUGCUUCAUUUGCAUAAAUAUAAGCACGAUGAUUGCCACACCCGGUUUCAGAAGGUAAACCGAAUGCAAACCAUGUACGUGUCAGGUUGAGAACUCACGUACACAGUGAUUACAUAAAUGACGCACCAUAGCACAAUGCUUCAAAUAAUAAUAUAGCGCAAGUAAUAGUAUUACAGAUUAGAGUCAUUUACAUCAUUUAUAUCAAAGUGCACAUAAUAGAAACGUAGCUAAUGUAAAUAAACCCACCACAUGCAACUGACUGGGGGAGGUCGCUAGCCUAAUCCUCGGACUCAUCGACGUCCUGGAACUCCUGGAGAUCCAUCUUGAUGCCUUCUUCUUCUUCUUCUUCUUUACCUCAGCAUAGGUUGUAUCAAAGGCAACCUAGUGUUUUGUGAAAGCAAGGGUGAGUACACAUAAACGUACUGAGUAAAUGUGUCGUUUGGCUGAAGUGGACUAGCUGUAUGUGGGGGUGAGGCUCAAAGAAGUUGCUUUUAGUUCAUCGAUUAUUUAUUAUUAGUAGAAGCUAAGUUUUAGCAAUAAUCAACUCGUGGAUCAUUUCCUCAUCGAGGAACAUCAUCAUCAUUGUAACCAAAUCCAUGAAUAGAACCAUAAUAUCUCUAAUCAAAGAGGAUCCCAAGGCUGCUCUUAACCGUGAGCACGACUGAUAUAUCAAUUUCAUUCCCCUGCAGAGGUCGCACACUUUACCCACGAGUCGUGAUCCCUUUCCAGCCUGGGUUUGCAAGACCUGAUCUUCCCUAACUGUGGCAGAACCUCCAAGUUAUUGGGCCCACAUGCACCUGUCCUUGUCCCAAAGACCUCAGACGGCUAUGCAUGUGCACCAGAUAACUUAAUAGGAUCUGUCCGAUUGCCCCAAGGACAUCGGAUAAACCACUUUCAACCAGAACCGCGGGAUUAAGUAACACAAAUCACACACACCAACAUUUUUGCAGCAGAAAUACUAUUACCAAAUUUUACAAGUUACAAAAAUUUUAUAUUAUUUUAUCGGAGUGGUUACAAAAGUAUAAGUUUGAAAUAUAUGCUAGCUCAAAUGACCAUCCUCAGUAAGAAGAUAAAGACGGGGGUAUACUUAUAUAAGAAGGCCGAGCCCACCGGCACUUAACACCAUCACAGCAGCACAAGGUUAGACCUGAAAAACAACAGGGAAUAAAACCGUGAGUAUGGAAUUACUCAGCAAGACUUACCCGACUAAGGAAAAGACUCUCAAGGGUAUGCUGGAUUUGGGAAUCAAGGAGAGACUUUAGCAAGAAUCAACUUAGAUACUUUUGCAGAAAUAGCUUACUAAAGUGAGUCCUUACUUUCAAUAUUUUAACGCCAGAUUAGAUAUUAAUAGACUCUGUUUGCAUCUGGUCUAAUUUCACCAUCUCAUCAAUACAACAUCAUUUUUAUUCAUGAGGUUCACAUCCUGACUUAGGUUGUAGGGAAGUGACCAAGUCUUCAUAACCGCGAAGGUACGGCGAUCCGAAUCGAUUAUACUCAGCUGAGGAUCUCCAAUCACACGACAUAUGUAGCACUUAACCCUUGCAUAUGUCAACCCGCCACCGGGGUUCUUAGACCAGAUCAGGUUCACGCAAACCGAGAGCACAGAUACACCACCGUCCAGCCUCUUGCCAUGGUGGGUACACGCUACUCCCGCCAUCGCUCCACGCCCAUUUCGUGUUAUCUUAUUCUGGCCUUAGUCUGCCCGAGGCAAGGCUUACCCAUGACGAGGCAUGUGACCAGUUAAAGGGUCCUCGAUCAGCACGCCUACAUACGCAUUCAAUCCUUAAUCAACCUGGGUAGAACAUCACCUGUUCCUAACCCAAGUCUCGAUUUAAGUACUUCCAUCCUUAGGAUUGUUUCUGUUCCUUAGGAUGAAAAGAGCAUCAUAGGGAAGUUUACAGUAAGAUCCCACCAUUGCUCCAAAUGAAAAUAUUCUUGCAGGUAGAAGCCAUCCUUUCUCGAGCUAGGCUAAGCACAACCUCUAUCCACAAGAUCUAAGCAGGGCUAAGUAUUUUUGUAAAUCAUAUUUUGAUACUUCACAGAAGUAUCUAUAAAGGUAUGGAUAUCAAGGCAGGCAAUGCAUCAAAGGGUUCCAAACAACUCCUAUAAACCUAAUGCACAUUUCACUAGACUUAAAGUGUGCGAACAUUAUUUAAAAACACAAGGAAGGGGUUGCAUGCACCGGGGCUUGCCUGGGUAACACUAGGUUAGUGUUGUU
rnacentral:lncRNA from 1 species